rnacentral:lncRNA from 1 species
AUUGACUCAAAUCCUAAACUCAUUAAAUUUCUUUCAUUUGCCACACAAAAGAAGAAACAAGGAAAAGUAAUCUGUUUUCCUUGUAAAUUAAAUAGAAAAUUUACUUUGAAUAGUUAGAAACAAGCCAUUUCCAGACUCAAAAAAGUUCAGGCUUGCAUGGUUGGUGCUCAAAUCCUUCUUUUCUCUACGUACCAACAGUAAACAGCAAAGGAAGAUGCCCCCAACUUUUCAACUCCUUUUCUCCACCUAAAAAGCAAGAAAACAAGACCCUUAUAGAGAUUUUCCCCACUUCUUUUCUUUUUUCUUCUUGUAAUCCAUGCGACCCGAGGAUCUGAACGUUGAAAUGUCGUAAUACGUGUAGACAAAUAUACACUUCAUAAGCAAUGAAAAGUUAUUAUGAUUGAUCGUGGCAAAAGCACUUCGAUAACAAUAAUCCAAAACACAUAAAUCUGUAGCAAGAAACUCGCCGAGGCAAUUUUCCUGAAAACUCAUCCAAGCUGUUUUCGUCCCAAAAAAUUGCAAAAAUCUCUUCUAAACUUGAAAAUCAAGGAGUCUACCGAUAGAUAAAAAUAGUUCAAGCAAAAACAAACAACAAUAGGCUAUUAAUUUAAAAAAUCAUUGGUAAAAACUCUUAAACAUAACCUCAAAUCUGAAAAAGAUGCCUCAUUUAUCAUUGAUCCCUUGCUCUAUUGGGAAAAAACAGCAAAACCCACAACGUAUGGUUUCUUCAGAAAGCAAAAAAAAGUACAAAAGAACGCGAGCAUAAGAAAGUGGAGGAAUUAGAAGAAUCAAAACUUUUUCCUCUUUCCUUUAUUUUAUUUUAAUCAAAAUAUUUUUUAGUGCUCAACUGAUUUUUUUUCACCAUCUAUUCUCCCGUAACAAAAGGGAGAUGGAAGAAGAGAGGACAACAGGAAAGUUGAAUUUGAUGGGGAUCUCUUCAGAUAUCUCAUUGACCACGAUGGGCAAUGUAUGAGAGAGAAAGGCUAAAGAAUGGAUAGGGCUGAGUGGUCAUCUCAAGUCCAUCGCUUCUAGCAAAAGGCAUAGAUAGAUGAUUGAUUGAUUGAUUAAGAAAAGAAAAGGAAAAGAGAAAACAAAAGGGGAGAGGACGUCUCGAGACUGGAGUGAUUGGGGUCGGUGGAGCUUUCCAGUGAAAUUUUACCGAUUACGGAUAGCACAAGAAUAUAAGUUAAUUUGAACAUAAUCGUCCCGUAGUUUCUAUACUUUUUUUUGUUUUUUUUGUCGAUAUCGGGGUGUCCGGAUCAAUUCUUACGGGAUCCGAUUAAUCUCCUGCGAUCCGGGAAAGAAGGCCCCACUCCACACCAAACACGUUAACAGCGGGAUUCGAACCCUGAACAAGCCAGGAAGGUCGCCAUAUCCUAAGGAGGGGGAGCGGAUCGUUCGAACUAUCCCGUGAGGACAAAGACCAGCCACGUAGGGUGACAAGUUGUGAGAGGUAGGGGUUGAACCCUGACCUCCAGCAUCCCAAAGAAAGGGAUGACGUCCCAUAGUUUCUAUACACUUACGUGAUAUUGUAGCAACUUUUCAGCUGGAAGUAGGUGGGCUGCGUAAAACAAUUCAUAUGACUCCAUAACCAAAAGCUUUUACUGUUUCACGGAGAAAAUUGUUUCCUGGGGAGAAUCGGUCAGGAUCACGCAAACUCAAUAUAUUUUUUGACUGAAAUCUUUCUAUACUUGUGUGUCAUUUUUCCUCUGGUCGGUGAGGCGUGGUCCCUAACAUUUUCAUUUAAGAUCUUAACUACGAUGCUCUUUGUCAGAAAUUUUCCUUGAAAUGAUUAUCAUCAAUUUUGGUGCCCGCAGAAGCAUUGAAACAAUACCAAUAGGGACUAAUUACAUUGAAAUGGAAACUUGGGAAAGGGUCCAAACACCUGCAAACGCAUCAAGAAAUGUCGAAGACCAUAUGCAAAAGGAAGCCUUAAACGUCUAAUGUCGACUGACUAGAUAGAAGCAUAGUUCUUCAGCAGCACAGCUAUUUCAAUCAAAUAGUUGUAAAGCUGUUCCGGCUUAGAGAUCAUGACCAUAUGAUCUGCACCGUCUAUCACUCUAACCAAAUCAGGCGGAUUAUUUUGUACCAUCCACCUUUGAAGAUCAACCGGUAUUAUCUUGUCGUCUCCGGCUAGAAAGUAAGCUCUAGCAAUUGAUCCAAACUUCUCCUUUGUAACUAGAAGCUGUCGUCUUGAUUCAUCAUCAUUGAAAGCCUUGCCCUCUCUCAUCAACAACGAUGCAAGUGCUAAAUCCGGACGCGGCGAAUGUUGGGGUGAAUUCUUAUUUUAUGAUGGAAAAAAAAAAGAAUUCUACAACGAGGGCGAUUGUUGGAGUUGUUUCUACAAAUGAGGGUCUUCGCAUUCUGGGAAUGCGAGCUCAUUGAGCUCGCAUUUCACUGAGCUCGCAUUCCACGAAUGCGAGCUCGCAUUGAGCUCGCAUUCGUGGAAUGCGAGCUGUGUUUGGAAAAAAAAAAAAGGCUUGAGACUUGGGGCUACUGACUAUCUUGUGAAGCCAUUACACACAAAGGAGCUCUCAGAAUUGUGGAUGCAUAUGAAGAACAGGUGCAUUAUUUGUGUUAUAUGUUAUCAUACUUAAUUGGUAUAGAAGCGUUCUUUUCAAGAAUAUAAGUUUGAAAUCUUUCUUUUUUUUUUUGGGUUUUAUUUCUUCUUUGCAAGAAUCAAGAUCCUAAAGGUGUCUAAAAUAGGCUGCAAUAUUUGCACUCUGACAGGAGGAGUGAAGUUCUACAGGGAUGCUGUUCAAAGAUUAAGCAGAUCAACAUAUAAUCACAGGAUGAAAAACAUGCCGAAGUUACUUUUUCACAGCUCUAUUACUUGUGAAAUAAUCGUCAUCUUAAUUAUUGCAACAAAUAUAAAGAUCUAUCCACAAUAACUUUAACUUAUGUAGUAAUGAUUGUAUUGAUUACUUCAGCCUCCAGAAUACAAAAACUUUCACUGCCAUGCGGACUUUGAUGUUUUAGUCCUGGUGAUGUUUUGGCCUUAGGUUGAAUACAACAAUCAUUUAGGUGUCUCGAGUCAAUUUGUAAUAUAAAGCAUUUUGUAAGCAACUUCUGGGCUCAGAAGAGCUCGCAUUCCAGAGCUCGCAUUUCACGAAUGCGAGCUCUGCUGAGAGAGCUCGCAUUCGUGAAAUGCGAAGACCCUCCGACGGAUUCUCUCGCCAAAAUCACCCCUUUUGUAGAAUUUUUUUAAAAUUCAUCACAAAGUUAGAAAUUUCUCCGAAUGUUGAUAUAGUGUUUUAAGAGGAUCCAAAAGGUUUCCAUCUGUGGUAUUGUAGUGCUCCAGGAGCUUGUAUAUACUCAGCUCAGGUCCAAGCAUCUGUGCUGCAACAAAUACUGCAAACGCGAUUUUUUCAGGAAAUCUUUCCAUGGCAGAGGAAACCGCGAAGCCACCCAUGCUGUGGCCAACAAGAAUGACCUUAUCAUCGGGCGAUAGAGCCUUUAGAUACGAGUAUAGAGGUUCAUGAUAGUCGUCAAUGGUGUGCAAAUCUGACACCUGUUUUGUAUCAAUCCCGGAGGCAGCUAAGUCCAGGGCUGUAACUUUGUGCCCUGCAUCUUGCAGGAGAGAUACCAACUUAUACCAACACCAUGCUCCGUGACAAGCACCAUGAACGAGCACAAAGUGUCCUGAUUUUGCAGAUAUCGAGGGCCAAAGAAUCAAAGAAAGCAGCAGGAAUAGUUGUGCCGACGGUGGCGAAACUUUUGUUGCCAUCCUUAUUCUUUAGCUUGUGAAUUUGCUAAAUGGAUGUUGUGAUUAGCACUUGAGCUGCUCUCAAAGGGCUCCUUUUACAUUGAGAGUCAAAAAUACAUAAGUUGUAUGUUUUUUUUUUUUGGAAAAUUUCUAAAAAAGUGUAUGCAUCGCAAAACAAAAUUCACGAGGAAGAUGCAUUUUUUUCCAUAUAUUGUUACAAGUAGAGGUGGCAAUAUGGAUAAAUGGUUCAUAAUUGGUUUUGACUUAAUGGAUGGUGGAUGAAAGUUAUCCAAUCCAUUUAGAUCCAUUUAAUAAAUGGAUCUAAAUGGAUGGAUCUAAAUGGAUUAAAUAAAAACUAAUUAUCCAUUUAUAAUCCAUUUAUAUAUUUUGGUUAUUUUUUUUUGUAUUACCAUUUCUUGUAAUAUGAAAAUACUUUUUUAUGUACUUGUAAAUUUUAGGUGUAUAUGAAUGAGAAAAAGGACAAAAUACUUAGAUUUUAUAUGUGUGUGUAUGUAUUCUUUAUUACUCGUCAGAUAUUAUAUUUUUCAUUCCAUAAAGUAAGUAUACAUCAAUAUAAAUCAGAAUUAUUCAGUCUUUAAUUACUCUUCUCCAGCCACAGAUUAUAAUCUUUUUAACAUUUCUAUAGACGCUUUUAUCUCCAAAUGAUCCAAAAUAAAAUGUCUAUGAUAGACGUGAAGUUAAUAACCAAACAACCUUAAUUUUCUUUCCUGAGUGCCUGAUAUAUCAAUUAAGCACUGCAAUUUAUUACUACUACUAAACUGGUCCAAGUCCAAGAAGAGGAGAAGGACAAGGUCUUUAAUCUGUUAAUUACAAGUGUAAAAGUAGAAAAAGAGAAAAAUUAAUAAUAAUAAUGAUCCACCGCACGAAAGGAUAAACAAUGAAGAUAAACCAAAGAGAAACUAAUAAAGGUGGCUAAGAUUACUGGUAGUGCAAAAUAUUUACUGGGACUUUCUUUUUUUUUUUAAUCGUUAUUAUUAGGUAAAUACACAUACAUGUGUGGGUGCAGACUGUGCAGUUAAUAUAUGGUUAAAUUAGUUGGUCCCGUUUUGUUUGUGUGCGGGUCUAAGUCUGGUGACUCUCGCUGCUCAAUAACGUGAAGAAAUAUAUGGUUUUAGUUAUUUCCUUUUCAUUUCUUUUAUUUGGUUUUUAAGUUUAUGGAUAAUCCAUAUAAAUCCAUUUAAUUUAAUGGUUUUACUUUGGUCAAUCAUUUAAAAUCAAUACUAUAAAUGGAUAAUCUAAAUUCAUUUAAUUAUGGAUUAUAUGGAUGAAUAACUGGAUUUCAAUCCAAAUUGCCACCUCUAGUUACAAGCAUUAAUCAAUGUUACGUAAAUACAUUUUGUACAAAAGGUUGCAUUUCAAACACGUAAUCUUUCAUGUUCGCAAUUGAUGUCCUUGUAAAGACUGGCAUAGGAGUACAUGCAUUCCACGUUGCAAGUAUUUGUUUCGGUAAUUUUUGUGCCAAAGAUAGUUCCUAAAGUAUGAUAUACCAAAACAAUCAAUUAGUGAAUGGUAUCACUUGACAUUAUAAUUAAUUGAGUAUAAAUUAUAAUUCGAUGACGUAAAAUAUCUUUUUAUUGGAAAUUGGAAAAAAAUUAUCUUAUAAAUCUAUAACUAACGUAAUAUGUCUAAUAAUUUUUUGAUAUGACCUAAAUUUAUAUUAGUUUGAAAACUAACUUUGUUUUUUUUUUUUUUAAUUAUCUUACAUGAUUUCAAAUGACUAAUUUCCGUAAAACAGAUCCUAUCAUAAUGACAUUCGCAUCUCAAAGUUCACAUUCAAAACGUAGAGUUCGAAUGGUAGGAAGUGCAUAGUUGCUAUGCUUCACUUGCAAAGCCAGGACAGGGGCAAAUGAGUCGAGCUCAAUCAACUAGUUGGUGAGUUUGUUCGGUCACAUUAACCUCAAAAUGUUCGAGCCUAAUGAGUCGACCAAUUGUAAAUCCUAUCAAGCUUGAGUUCGAGCCUAAUAUGCAAAGAUUAAAAACUUGCCGAAUUUAAUCAAACUCGAUUGAGUUUUACAUAUAAAUGUUUUUUUUUUAUUUGUCAGUAUAAAAUGCCGAUUUUGCCUCUUGCUUAAAAUAUAAAAUAUAAAUUUAUGUUUCUUAAAUUCAAUUAUGCUCAAUUGAGCUUGAAUUAAGUUUGACUAGACUCAAAAAAAAAAAAAAAAAGUUUGACUAGACUCAAUUUGCAUGAAUUCGAACUCGAGCUUGAAUAAGGCACAAUAAAAUCGAAUUUGAGUUCAAACUCGACUUUUAAAAGUUCGAUAAGUUAGAGAUUGAGGUUGAAUCCAAGUUUUUUAAUUCGAGCCGAAUUCAAAUAAUGUACUGCUUAAUCUCGACUUGAUUUGAUUUGUACCCUUCUUCAUGACUAGAGGUGGCAAAUCAACCCACUUAACUAGAUUUACCCAUAUCCGCCCAUGAAUAGAUGGGUAUGGGUAUCUUAAAUUUUUGUAUAUGGGUAUAAAUGGGUUACCCAAUAAUACUCAUUUAUUAAAUGGGUAUUAUUGGGUAACCCAUCAAACCCAAUUAACCCAUUUAAAAUUCUCUUCCCCCCAAGUCUCUUCUUUUCCCCUACCUUUUUUUUUUCAAAUUUUUCAUUUUGUCAUGAUGUUAACAUUAUUAUUAUUAUUAUUAUUUGUUGGUUUUAUCUUAUUAUUUUAUUUUUUCUUAGUUUGUUAACUUGCUCAUUUUUUAGCAUUACCAAUUUAUGAUAAAUUUUAGCUUAUUUUCUUAUCUUUAUAAAAUGAAAUUUUAAAUUUAUAUAUGAAAAAAAUGUUAGGGGUUCAAAAUUUUUGGAUUAAGUUUUUAUAUUAAUUUUUAUAGUACUUAAUUCAAAUUUUUAUAUUCGUAUUAUUCAAUUAUUAAAUAAUAGGUAAUUUUGUAACAUAGAGUAUAAAUGAAAAAAAUUGGUAAUUAAGUUUAUUGAACAUUAUAAGUAAAUAUUUAAAACUAAUGAUGGGUACAAAGAGUGGUAUAAAUUGAUAACUUAGUUUGCAAAAAUGAAUUUAAAUGAGUUUGCAAAAAGUUAAAAUAAAUGAGUUAUAAAUGGGUAAUUGGGUUACCCAAUUCAUUUUUUGACUUACCCAUUUAUACCCAUCUAAUUAAAUGGGUAUAAAUGAGUUGACUCACUUAUAUCCAUUACCCAUUUUACCCAACCCAAACCCGCCCAAGUCACCCAUUUUGACACCUCUAUUCAUGACCUUAUCCUUUGUCAUCUCUUACGCCAUUGUGAGUAACAUGUAAUUUCUGUGAAACACGUAUUUGGUGGUGGAUAACUCAAUAGACUCGAACACGAGCCCCAAAUAAACUGAGUUGCGUGGUACAAAGUAGGGUCCGUGUUCUAGUUUUUAAAUGCGUUUUCCCGAAUCAGAAUGCAAGUGAUCGAUAUUGCUAGAGGCUUCUAUUGCUUUUCAAGAUUGGAUUCAGGAAAAAUACUCAGCCAAGGAAAGACUAGGCUCUAGAGACCUUAAAAAUACUGAUCUUUACAUUUUUUCUUCUUUGAUGUUGGAUUUUUGGUUGACUUUACUUAGUUUUUUCCCCUAAAUUUCUAAAGCUUUAAUAUGAGGAGCACUUUAUUAGCAAUUUUGGAGGAUGGCUCUUUGUGGUCUUCAAAAGUUAGAGAAAGGUGGACAUGAGAGAAUGCAUGAAGUGAUGUAAAAUAUCAUGUGUAUCUAGUUGACACUUGACAGACAGCUGCCAAAAUGGUUGAGGUGAUGGUGAUGACAAAUUGGCAGUGGUGGCUGAUUUUUCUGAUCAUGGGGAUGCUGGCUGGUUGUGCAUAUCUUUCUCAUCUGUUCUUCUGACAUUCAAAACAGCUAAUGGAAAAAUGCAAACCAAUUAAGCAUUGUCACUUUAAUGUUUAGUAAAUGAAUUCACUAACUCCAACUUAACAUUGCAGCAGAGCAGCUAACCAAACAUCUCAAGAUCAUAUAUGACUGAAUCACAAACACUUGGUACACAUAUAAGGUUGAUUUCUAUUCUACGUGAAAUCACAAUCACGCAGUUUCUCAGUGCAUUCUACUGAAAUAUCUUUCAAUGUGCCCUUUUAUAUCUUUUCUCCAGACUUUUGUCAGAUUUUAUUGCCAGCACCAAGUAUCCAGAAAUUUUUGACAGGUAUUAAUUAGCAGAUUAUCUCAACGAAGAAGAUGAAGAAGAAUUAGCAUUAGAAUUAUCAGAUGAAGACAACUACCCCACCAAUUAUUUCGAUGACUUGGGGGCAAAAGAAUUACACAACAUAGAAAAACAUGAUGGAAGGAUAAGUAAGCCAACCCACUCAGCCUUGUCUGCCACAACCGGAUUCCAAGACUAUGAGAUCCGAAGAAAGCUAGCUGUAAAACCUUAUUACAUCCGAAGAAAGCAUUUCAUGCGGUUUUUUUUGUCAGAAAAAUCAUUAUCAAGAACCCACUGCAUUCGAUCGUUAAUUAACCCUGUCGUGUCCAGAGGAAGGCAUGCAUCAAAAUCAGUCUGCAACGAACCCGACUACACGAACGAGUUUUCUUGCCGGCUGACAAACCAAAGACCAUUAGAGUUGCUGAAAAUUAUUGUACAACCGAUCCAUAUUCACUGUUGAUAAGACAACUCGCACAUUUAGCAUAGAACUUUUAGUGAGACUGACUACCUCACGUUGGUCAUCCGUUUUGAAUCCAUCAAUAUUUGUCAUCUUCAACGAACUUUGCUUGCAUGUUGUAGAAACCUGAGGCAUAGCUGAUCUCUGAACCUGAGGCAUACCUCAUGUUGCUUUUCUCAUAGUUGUAGGCCCAGUGAAGACAAAUAACACUCGAAUUCAAUAAUAUGAUUGUUAUUAUCAACAAAUAUAAUACAAUUGUGGGGCUCAACCAAUUGAGUACAAGACGACAUGCAGCUUCAAGCAACAAGAUUUUGAUUACUUAUCCAACUAAAACUCUUGAAAAAGACCCAAGUGUUGUGCAAGUUUAAGUGCUAAUUAAUUUGAUCAAAUUUGACAUAAAGGCGAGAGCUACAUCUCGAUUCUCUUUGCACUUUGAAUUUUUAAUCUCUAAGUUCAAUCAUUUGCAUCGUAAGCAAAAUUAGCGGAAUUAAUUAAGGAGAGUGCACAUAAUGUACAAGUAUAGCGAUUGCGGGUCAGUAAAAAGACUAAUUCCACUUUAUAUCCUUUAACUUGAACUUAAUUUUUACUUUGCACCCUACCCUAUACCCUAAUCUCUCCAUUAUCAAUACACUAGUCUUGUCUUACCGAGUCUUUGAGUUAAAUCCAAACUCAAUUGCCAACAAAAGAGAGCAGAUCUAACAGAAAUUUGGAAAAAUGAGGGCUUCAAGCGGAUCUAACAAAACACUACGGAUUCCAAACUUAAACUUAGAAAAAGUUUCCAGAGAAUGUGCCAAACACCAAAAUAGUGAAGUUAAUUAAUCCCUUGUAUUGGAAGGAUCAACACCAAUAUGUAUCGUCGGUUGCCCGCUAAUUUAAUUUGGCUACAGGGCCAACAAUUCGUCUGCUCAAGGGAAAUUUGCUGUGAAGUAAACGUUGUUAAGAAUCCGUUUAACAUUUGAAUAUAUUUUAUUAAUGGAAUUGGUGUUGCAACACAUCAAUAAUCAACAAUUUAACAUUUGAAAACUGCCAACUAAACUUAAGAAUUAUUAGUACUAGUGGUCGAGGCACACUCAAUGCAUGUACACUACGUUAAUAUGAUAUACCAAAAAAAAUGAUAUCCUAAUAAAUAGAUCCUUAUAAAGGUUCAUCUUUUACCAUCAAUGGUUCAAGAAAUAUGCACUCCUCAAAUUAGAAAAAGGGAAGGUAAAAAAAAAGGCAUGAAAGGGAAAUUUGCUAUUAAGUAAACGUUGUUAAGAUUGCAGAAAUAUCCCACAACUAAACAGAAGAUCCUCAAGUUAAUAAAUACUAUAUGCAAAAAGAAAAGGUAAGUUAAAAAAAAGUACCUAUACAUAUGUUGGAAUGUGAAGGCUGAGGCUCUUUCAAAUUUAAGAAGUCCAAGCCAAAUUGCAUCCCAGAAUUGACAACAAAGAAUGAACUUUGCUCCAUAGUUGGUUUUGUUCUCCUUGAAGCCACGAAAACCGAGUUUUGUAUUAACAUUUUGUGAUGCUAAAUUCUUUUCUCUAGUUUUUUUUUUUUUAAUUAUUGAAGUUGGCAAUCCUAGAAAACUUAGAGGAGAAAAGAAUGCAUGGUAACACCAGUUGGCUGGGGAUAUGGAAGUUGUUCGAGAUGGUUGCAUGGUACUUGACUAGGGGAGCAUGGAAAUUGAAAUUGUUGUAUGGUGCUCCAUCAUGCAUAGGCAAAAUAGGGAUAACACAUAAUGACAAGAUUUUUUAAUGCCAAACCCAGCAUAACAUUGAACAAUUAAGUGCAGUGUACAAUAAGCAAAUUCAGAGAAAAGCUAAGGAUGGCAAGAAAACUUUCACUACUGUCAAGUGUCAACACCACUACUGAUCUUCUUGAAUUCUUGACCAUUUGGCCCUUGACACUAUUGAUGACCAUCAUGAACCUCAAUAUACCUAUCUAGAGGCUCUAUCCCUCAAUGAUAAGGUCAUUCUUGUUGGCCACAGCAUAGGUAGUGGCUGUGCAGUUUCCUCUGCCAUGGAAAGAUUUCCUAAAAAAGUAGCAUUAUGCGGCAUCUAUUGCAGCGUUUAUGCUUGGACCUGAACUGAGCACACACAAACUCGAGGUGCAUUACAAUCUGGGGAUAGAUAUUUACGAAGACAGCAAAUUUACAACAGAUGGAAUCCCUUUUGAUCUUCCAUUAACUCUCCUGUUUGGGGCUAACUAUAGUGAAAGACGCAUCUUUGUUGAUGAGAGAGGCAAAGUUCUUCAACGAUGAUGAAUUGAGACGACAACUUCUGGUUACAAUGCAGAAGUUUGGAUUAAUUGCUAGAGCUUGUCCUGUUGCCAGAGAAGAUAAGGGAAUACCACCAGAUCUCCAAAGGUGGAUGGCACUACAAAAUAAUCCGCCUGAUUUGGCUACACUAAUUAAUGGAGCAGAUCAUAUGUUCAUGAUCUCUAAAACCAGAAAAGCUCUACAGCUAUUUGCUCCAAAUUGCUGUGCAGUUGAUGAAUCAUGCUUCUAGCUAGUCAGUCAACAUUGUAUUUUAUGGCUGGCGUAAAAUUUUACUUUUUUUUUUUUGGUGUGUUUGCAAGUCUUUGGAUCCUUUAUUUUCGUUAUAUCUUUUGUUACUUAUGAAGAGCAUUGGUGUACACAUGUACAAUGGUGGAUCUACCUGCCAAAGGAAACUUUCACUUUUAGGUAUAAAAUUUUUUUAAAAUUUUAUUUUUGCCUUACCAAUUCAUCUAUGUAUCCCUCCUGACCAAAGUAAAAUAUACAUUGCACUAUUGCAGGUAUCAGACGGUAGAAAAUUUAUGUUUUUACCCAUAUAAUUAGUAGAAGUUCAAUACAUUAUGUACCUACGAGUAAUUUGAUAACAUUUUUCAAUUAAAAAAGUGAAUACUACAAGAACAAAUUCAAUACUUUAGGGAGUUUAGUUUACUUGUAAGCUUUUCUAUAUUAAGAAAAAAAAACGUACUUUAAUGAGUUAAGAGCAUUAGAGGAUUCUUUAUAUUCUCUUAUUUUAUUCUUUUUAAUAAUGCAUGUUGCUAAUUGCCCUAUACAAAUAUUAUUAUUGCGCCUUUCUUUUUCUUUACUGCAACCUAAACCAAUUAUUCUAUCCAAAGCUGUUUUACCUGUUGAUUUUCUCAAACUAAUAGGCCCAGUGCACACAAAUAAUACUUAAACUCAUAUGUAUUAUUAGCAAAUACAGCACAGUACUUUUGGGACACAACCAAUUAAUUGAUCACAAGAAGAUAUGCAGCUUCAAACAACAAGAGUUGAUGACUUGACCAACUAAAACUCUAAAGAAAGACAAGGCAACUACCUUCUCGCUAUUCUUCAUUUGAGGUAUACUCUGUCGUACAUAUAUGUGACUACAGCCGGAAGUGAAACACUUGAACAAUGUAACAUUUUUUUGAACGUUCUGUAAUUGAGUAAAUCUUUCCUAUACUAAUUGUGUAUAUACUAUCACCGUUAGAUCUGUGAAACAUAUACAAAAAUUGAAUUUCAAAUUUAAAUUUAAAUUUUGCAUAGUUGUCAUUCAUCCAACGCUGACAGUGUAUACACUGUCCGUAUUAAAAAGAUUAAUCCUUUGUAAUUUUAUGUAAACUUUUUGUACAUCCUUACAACAGAGGUGUGAUAUUUUGUUACUAUUUAUAUAGAUCUCAUAUAUAAUAAUUGUGUCUCUAUUAUUAAAUUUUUCAAGUAAUUUACGUAGAAUUACGCCUUAUUCAAAAAAUAUUAUAUCGUUUAAAAUGAUUGUUACUGAUAACUAUUCGUGCCCUUGAUCCGCUAGAACCCAAGAGGGCAGCGCACUUACCUUACAUUUGAUUAACACUUGGGGCUAUUUAUAGUUUUGAUAGGAUGGUUAACAAGAAAACUACAAACCCAAAGCUUACUAAUGUUGGAAGAGGGGUUGGGAGACGGGUAGGAAUGAUUGCACUAACAGCAUAUUUCGUUUCAAAGGAGUUGUAAUCUAUCACAAAUUAACUUUUGCAUCUUUUUAACAGGAAAAUUAGAGAAUUUCGCCAAUUUGAUCCCUAAACAUUUUCACUUAAACCAAUUUCGUCCUUAAUGAAAUAUUUUAACCAAUUUAGUCCUUGAACUAGUUUUUUACUUCCAAUGUAGGACUUUUGACUACAUUUUACUCCCUUCGCGUGGACCAACAGGGGUAUAAUUGUCACACUUGCUUAAUCUGCUGCAAUUAUUCGAAAGACACAGAUUACAGAUCAUAUACACCCGAAAUUAAACUAGCUAUACUCAGGCCACUUCAUCGUCAGAUGUUUCGAUACCCCAAAUACAAAGGGCUACCCGUGUUUUUGUGUAAUUUAGGCGGCGGCGGCGAUGAUGAGCUGGGGAGUCGAGCUUUUAGCUUUCCGUUUGUGGGUUUUUCUGGGGUUUUAGAUGGAGAGGAGAACUGUGUUAGGAGAAUUGCGGAAGUUAUGGUACCGAGGGAUAAUAUCAAAGGGAGGAGGAAUCCUCUGCUUGUUGGCGCAUGUGCUUAUGACGCUUUGAGGACUUUCUUCGAAACGCUGCAGAGGAGGCGGGGCUCGGGUAUUCUUCCUCUGGAGCUGUUUGGUGUGGGCGUAGUUUGUCUGGAGAAUGAGAUUUUGAGGUUCGUCAGUGGCACGUGUGAAGAGAGUUUUUUGAAGUUGAGGUUUCGGGAGGUUGAUAAAAUGGUGGAAAAUUGUGUCGGAGCAGGGGUGGUGGUGAAUUUUGGUGAUUUAAGGGCAAUGGCUAAGGAGGACGCGCCAGUUGAUGUUCUGAGGCUUGUGAUUAGCGAAUUGACGAGGCUGGUGGAGAUUCAUGGAGACAAAGUAUGGUUGAUUGGAGCGGCUGCGAGGUACGAGACGGAUUCGAAGCUUUUGAAUAUGUUUCCCUGCGUUGACAAGGAUUUGGGCCUGCAGCUUUUGCCUAUUACUACUCUGAGACUGUCUGCGGCAGAGUCAUACCCAAGAUCCAGGUACGUUUGCCCUUUUGGUGUCUUUGUGAUCGUUUAACUUUUUUCACUUCUAGUUAGUAUUAAUGUUUGAGGUGUUUUUUGCAAUUUUUAAAUUGAACACGGAACGCAACCAUCAGAGGCAAUGGACAAUGGCGAAUCUGACGCUGUGUAAUGAUCUGUAAUCUGUGUCUUUCGAAUAAUUGCAGCAGAUUAAGCAAGUGUGACAAUUAUACCCCUGUUGGUCCACGCGAAGGGAGUAAAAUGUAGUCAAAAGUCCUACAUUGGAAGUAAAAAACUAGUUCAAGGACUAAAUUGGUUAAAAUAUUUCAUUAAGGACGAAAUUGGUUUAAGUGAAAAUGUUUAGGGACCAAAUUGGCGAAAUUCCCGGAAAACUAUAUUCAUUCACUGUUCAAAACUACGUAGAUGUGAGUUGUAUCAAAAUUACGAGACAUUGUUUGGACCUUACAUUCUAAAUUUCUGCAUUAUUAAUUGGCCAAAUAUUAGUGACCAUACCUUGUUAUUGGGUCCCAAUCCCUUGCUGCGCUACCCUUUUUGUUUUGUGUUUAUGGCGAUAAAAUAUCACCGGAGGAAUUACCUACACCGACAUUGCUAUAUAUUUUGGUCCAAAUUAAACAAAUAUUGAUAGUUUCAUUUUGUUUCCACAAAUAUGGAAACAGAAUUCUCAAACUUUAUAGUCGACUUAGAAAUCAACCUUUUUUUUCUCUUUGUCUCUUCAUGCCCAGUCUAACGCCUAUUGACAAUAAGUUCUUCACAAGGGGUAAAGAUUCAGUAUUAUUUGAGGUUAAGCACUACUUCAACCUAAACUAAGAGUGAGAGUUACGUCUAGAGUUUAUACGAACCACCUUUAGAAUUCUCCGCAUCCUACGUAAUGAUGGGAGCCAUAUGUAAAACUAGUAGAGCCCUUGUUAGGAUGAUAUGAACUGGGUUGGAAAGCCUGCAUGAGGUUUAGAAUGAUAUGGACUGUCCAUGUGAGGAUUGUUAAGGCCUUGAGGGGCUGAUGUCAACACCCAACAUCGGUAAGGAUGACCUGGAUAGCGUAACCUGCACAUAAAGAAUUCCUCAAGAGCUUAAGAGCAUUGCAAAGCACUAAUGUCCAGCCACCUCAAACGAACAAUUCUUAUAUUAGGAAAAAUUUUGUACUACAUGAACAAGACUUGGACUGACGAAAUUCAUGUUUAUCACAAAUAGGAUAUCUGUGGCUAAAACAUUUUGACAUGUUAAAAAAAUCAAGUUAAUGAGAAAAGGUCUGUUAGUGUUGAGGAAUGUUUUAGCAAUAUAUAAACAAGAUAGUUCCAAAUCUCUCUCUAAGGUUUGGAACACAUUUAAUUUUAAAUUUGAAGCCACUAAGACCAUGACAUGAGUACCUAGUAUGAUAUGUAUUCAACUUCAAUGAUUGGUAAUUCAGCGAACUCAACUCAAACCCUCAAUUUUGGAGCAUGAUAAAUAUUCUAUCCCAACAAAGAGCAAGCAAAACAAAAAACAACCACAGUCUACAGCAUGGACUAGAUAUUUGGGUUUACAUGUUACUGUUCCCAAAAAAAAUAUAGAAUAAUAAUGUAACCAAAAAAAAAAAGCUUCAACAAUUAUUAUUGAAAUCUCAUAAUCCUUGGAAUACAAUCACUGACAAUUGCAACCAAACCCAAUUUCUCCACAAAACUAGUUAGAAGGGUUUGAUACCUUUGUACCAUCAGGCGCCCAAGUGCAACAAUUUCUGAGCGGAACUGAAGAGCAUGAAAAGCAACACGACAUCUCAGCCUCUGGUAUUCACCCAGGCUAUUAGGAAGAAUGGACUGCAAGUAGUGACAAAGUAAACACCUUUGGCCAGUUAGGGCAAUUAGUGAACUUUGCAUAUGUAAAUUACAGUUAAUGUUCAGAUGAUGCAUGAAUAUAUCCUUACAUUUGAGAUGAUGAAAAAGUACACCACAUGACAAAUACAAGGUUAAGCAAAUACAUAUAAAUCAAGGAGGAACCACUUCAGACACUACUUUCACACCUUUUUUAUUAUGUUCCAGAUAUAACUAAAAGAUCACAGAACUGCAAAAUAAAUUCUAAUGUUAAACUGCAAAUUAGGUAAUGGUAAAUAUGACAUUUAUGUCUUUUCUGCACAUUCAAGAAAGUUAUAAGAAUAAACUAUAUAUUCUCUUCAGGGUUCCUUUCUGAUGCUGGAGCAUUUUAGAUCUUAAUUUGUUUUCAUUAGUAUAUUAUUUGUUAUUAUUUGCUGCUAAGCAUGCAGUAGCAUUAUUAACUGUUCUGCACAGCUGGUGCACAUCUUCUAGGCAGGUGCCUUAUUAAGAGUCUCUCUGUUUUUGUCACUCUUAAGACAACAAUAUGUUUGGAUCCCCAUACUCAUCUUAUUGACUGCAGUCACGCAGUUUUGAUAUCAGUUCACUACCUAAACUUGUAUCAGCUCCCUUGGGCUAUUUUGUAGCCUAGAAGCUAAUCCCCUUCAAACUCUUAUGAUUUCUCUUCAUCUAUCCUAGUAGUCUAGUGCUGUUAUUGUAAAGGUCCUUUUAGUUUUCUUGCACAACUAUUUCGCAUUUGAUACGCACAUUAGAAGUUCUAGUGUGAACUAUUUUCAGAAGGUUCCAAGCCUUUAAUACCAUCCACAAAGUUCACAAAUUUGAGAAGGUGCAACUACGAAAAUAAUGAUCUAACAUUCUGCAAAAUUCAUGUUACUCUACCAUGUAUGAGCUAUACAACACUCUGGUGAGCAAGUAUUUCAACUCACUGAACAACCUUAAAGAAAAGCAAAGAAGAAACAAAAGCUGAUAUUAGUAAUCCUACAUUCUUCCGUAAAACAAGGGCCACAUAAGGACCCAGUUUUCAAAACCAACGUUCAAAAAAAUUUAAGAACUUAUAUCAAUUAAGAAGAGUACCAAAGAUUAAAAUAUUCUCAUUAUGAACUGGCCCGGGCUAGCGUUUUUACAAGAAAUAUCUAGCCAACAUUUUACAUAGUCCAGCCUUCCCUUCUGUAGUUUUUAAAACACUCCAGUUAGUUAAAUACAAUUGACCAUGUUGCACUUGAUAUGAAACUGGUAGGCAAGUUUCCUUAGCUUUAGAAAAUUCAAGGCCAUGGAUAUUUCAACCAUUAUGAUAUCUCAAGGAAAAUCAGUAUAAUUAUACCUCAACAUUAACAUCUGAAAAUCAAAUCACACAGCUAAAAAGCAUAUGAAUGUUUUAUGGCAUUACCUACAGCACAGCAAUAACAUUUUAACUUGAAUUGGACUCUGACUGUCCUGAAUUUUAGAUAGUUGGACCUAAGCACUGCUGAGAUUUUCGUUAGGCCAGUGUAACUACAAAUUCCCAUGAAAGAAGUUUGGAUGAUGUCACGUUGAAGAUCAGACUUGACAUAUGAGCCCAAAUGGGCUAAUCGAGGAUCACUCUUCAGAACCAGAUUUAUAAGCUUAACGAAAGGCACAGAGGAAAAAAAAAUGAAAGCUUGCCAGAAGCAAACAGGAAAAUGGCUUUCCACUCUCAGUUUUGGUCUAGAAGCAGCAGUCUAUUGGAUUUAUUAGCAUAACAGCAAAUUAAGGUAAUAUCUUUAAUCCCAUAGUUAUUUCUUUUCAAAAUUUUAUUAGACACAACCCAAGUUGCAUGCAUAAUACAUUCAGUUAGAAAAAAUCUGUUCAAUAAUUGAGUUCAUAAAGGAAUAGUUGGAACUCUAAUUACACUUGAACACCACCAAUUGUCUAAUUGGACUAAAGAGAGAGAUAGAGAUAGAGAGAGAGAGAGAGAGAGAGACCUGUAGGCAUCCUCCAUCAGUAACUAUGAGCCCAACGACCUUAGCUUUCUUUAGUUUGGGUAAAACAUUGGUCAGGUAAAAGCUUGGAGGAGCUGAAUGUUGGGGUCUGAAAGUUGGAAAUUGCUUCUGCUUUCUGGCAUCCUUGUGAUUUGGGGGAAGAUCCUUCACAAUGAUUACAUCAGUUGCUAGAGCUGCAAUGAACUGCUCCUCAUUGUAGAUAUAUGAAAAGCUUUUGAAGUUGGAACUGCAACUUGCAGAUAACAGUUUUAAAAUUCACUCAAGCAUGCAGAUAACUCUAGUUUUUAUUCGCUCAAAAACAAUAACAACCUGAUUCCUUUUGAGCGAAUACUUUGUUGAAUCUCAGGGAUAACAAGGGUAGCAUUUAGAAGUCUUGCAACAGCGACCAGGUCACAAAUCUAAAAUGUUUCUCAACGGUUACAAGCUUUGUGAGGGUAAGAAACGAGGGGAAAAAAGGCACAAGAAAAUGCAAACCAAUAGAAGAGGAAUAUUUAAGCAUACUGAAUUCCUGAUCUUCUCAAAGCCCCCAAAGAUUUUUGCAUAAAUGAAGCCAUUGUUCUGUGUGAUUGGAACUGAGACAAUAAAGAAAAUGAUGUCAAAUGGAGGCAACAAUAGUACAACUCAAAAUAAAGGAAGCAACAUCAGGUGAUGAUACAAUACAGGAUGUCCAGUAUGACAUUACCAUUAAUCAAGGUGAAAUGUUAACAGGCAUUGCCACAUUUUUUGUCACCUUUGACUUUCCUAUUGUAAAUGCGCAAACACCUACCUUUAGAUGUCUGGAAGCAAGCAAUAACAGAAUAUGGACCAAAACUUGAAAUUUUCAGGAUAAAUCCUAAGUUUUGUGGAAAAAGGGUUGAUAGUAACACAAAACUUAUUCAGAAGAAUGAAGACCGAAAUGCAAAAUAUAAACACAAAAUCAGAAGUGCCACCAUAAUAUAAGAGAGUAGUUUUCAUUGAAGAUUAUAGCUCGUUCUAAAAUACAGCUUUCUUAACCUAUCUUUUGCUUGAGAAAAACCUUAGAUAUUGAUCAUUUCUAAGCACAGACAAGCGGAAUAAACUACCAAAAUGAAUGUUUGCAAACAAGUUAAUGAUGCUGAACUAACUAAUAACUAGUUAUACCCUAACUAAUAAUUAAAAUUAAAAUUUCACAAAGUAAAAUCUCCGCAUUUAUGACGCACAUUACCAGGAUAUGCACUUCUUGGUUUCGCAUAUGGAUGCAAUCCUUCCAAUGCCUUGACCUUUCCCCACAACUUCUUAUUCACCGGAACCUAUUACCAAUUAUUCAAAACAACACAACACCAUCAAAAAUACAGUCAUAUUCAGAUGCUCAAGUAACCUCUUAUCCCUAAUUUACCUUAACAUCUUCAGCAGGAAUGAAUUGACUCCAACUUUUAGUCAUGAAUGGAAUUCCAGCGUAAUGAACAAUGUUCGCACUCGACUUUGCAAGAAAUAAAUGCACUAACAAAGAUACAAAUGAUAACACUAGCCCUCCCAAUGCCGCCCAUUUUAUCUUCGAUUUCAUCUCCCCCCAAAAUUACUCCAAAGAGCCAACAAACAAUCUGCCAAAAAAAUUAACAAAAAUUAAUCAGAAUAAGCAAAAAUAAUCAAUUUCAUAAAACAAAAUUAAUAACUUGAAUUAAGCAAAAACAAAAAAAGGAAUCGGUAAUAUACCAGCAAACUUUGGAGGUAACCAAUUUCAAAAUUAUUGUAUUAGGCAAUGGCAAGCAUGAAUAGAAGGAAAAAAGGGCAAAUUAGGGUUUAAGAAAUUGAAAUUCUGAGUUCUGAGCGGAAUCGCGAAAACCGAAGCUGGAUCGAGAUGAGCUAAACGACGCCGAAUAUACAUAACAUAUAUAUAUCUGUAUGUAGGAGAAAGUAGAGUUGGGAAUCCGUGUAUGUAGAAGGUUUAACUGUGUGAAAUCAGAGUGUGUAUUUUUGUGUUUGAAGACUCUAAGAGUGUGAAAGAAGCGAAGAAGAAGAAAGAAGAAAUGGGGAGCUGCCGAGAGAGUUCAAUGCCGGGACUUUAGAAUUUAGAUUUGGCCCUUUUUUCAAGAAUUUAAUUUUGGAUUUUCUUGCUUUCUUGGAUAAUUAGAUUUGGCCGUCUAAUAUUUCCUUUUUAGGCAAAAUCCUGUUUUUGGGUCCCCCUAUUUUGGGUUGGUACGGGGCUUUUUUUUUUGUUUUUUUUUUUUUGUGUGGAUACUGUUUGUUUUCAAUUUUCAUCAUACAUGCCACCAUAAACUAUACUAUGCCCUUUAUGUAUUAUAGAAUUCUGUCUAAAAUGAUACUAAAAUCUUCUCCAUGGUUCCUUUUAAGCCUUAAAAAUUUCUUGAGCAUAUAAGCCUUAUUGGAUGCAAAAAAGGAUGAUGUUUGAAGUAGAGACAUGGGAAAAAAAGAAAAGAAAAAAUUUUGGAUUAUGAUUUUUUACAAAAAAAAAUUUAUAUUUUUUGUGAACACAUUUUUCAAUCACUCUUUUACCUCACAUACAUUAAAUUACUACGGUACAUUUUCCUACAAAAACUUCUAAAAAUUGCAAUCCAAUCAAGCUAAAAAGGACUAUGCGUUGUUUUCGGAAGCAAGGGAAGAUUACCUACACAAAACACUAUUCACGUACAAAAAUAAAGAAAAACACUGUAUAUAAUGACUACAAGAUUCUAUAAUUGUUUUAACUAUAGUAUUUGGUGACUAAUAUGGAAAUAUUUUAACGAACAUUUUGUGAUAAAUUUGCAUGAUUCGAUGAUUGAAAUUUUUUGUAGAAAUAGAUUUAUUCAUGGUAAAGGUAUAAAUGACUUGAAUUAAACCAAAUACUUUUGUUAUACUUUUGACAAUUGAUUGAUUUAUUUAUUAAAUUCAACUAAAACGAAUUAUUAACAAGUUGAGCUCAAAUACCUUGAAGUUUUGACAUAUAAAAUUCCAAAUUAUGCUAAUUCAAUCAAGAUCAAGUCAAGUUUGAAAAUUUAAUUAACAUGGAAUGCUCUUUCGUAUUUGGGAUUUUAUGUUGAUCCAACCUAGCUCAAAUUUUAUACUGAUAUUCGGUUUUGAGAUUUUCAACAAUUGUUCAUUAACACACCUAAGGGUCCAUUUGGGAUUGCAAUAAUUUACUGAAAAGUAGUUUAUCCAAUAGAACUUUUAAUGAAGUACUUAUUAAAUGUUGAAAUGCUUUUAAAUAUAUUUUUUGGAUACAUAAUUAAAUAAAUACUUAUUGCAUUGAAUAAUGUAUAAUUUGAGAAUUUUUAAAAGUAUUUAUCUUUUUUUAGUUCAUAAUAUAUGAUAAAACGAUUAAAUUUAAUGUUUAAAUUAUAAAACACAAAAACUAUUUUAAAAGCACCAAAUUUUAGCUUUUACUAAGAGAGCUUUUAACACCAAAAGUUCCACACUUAAUUUUAUGGGAUGAUAUUUACUAAACGUCUCAAAACUUAAAAGUAAUUUUAGCACUCAAAAAUACUUUUUUAUCAGAACCAUUGCAACCCUCAAACGGCCCUCUGUUUGGAUUGCUAUUUUAUGGAAUUUUUAUUUAAAAAAUGUAAUAUAGUGAUUUGACGUAUAUAAGGUAAAAAAAAAAAAGAUUGAAAAAUGUGUUUACGAAAACGUAAAAAUGUGUUCAAGGGCAAAUAUUGGGUCAGUUGUAGCUUGAGGGGAAUUUUGCCAAUUUAGUCUCUGAAUAUUUUGACUAAAACUAAUUUCGUUCUUGAUAAAUUGUUUUAACCAAUUUAGUCCUUGAAUAAGUUUCUUACAUCCAAUGUAGGACUUUUCACUACAUUUUACUCAAUCCACGUGGACCUAUUGGGGCAUAAUCAUCACACUAGCCUAAUCUUUUGCAAUUAAUCAGCGAAACAGAUUAGUAAGAUCAUUAAAAUAAAGGGGUAAGCAUCUAGUUUUUGAAGACAUUGGGGCUCCUCACAAUUUCUCAAUUCUCUUUGUGAAGAAGCUCCAAUAAGAUGCAUCCGCGAAGAAACUACCUCAAUGAUGCAUCAAGUUCGAGCAGCUGCCAAUAAUCAAAUCAUGAGAAUGAAGAAAGUGGAAAAUUAUCAGAGGUGAAGAGAGGGAAGGUAGAUCACUACAAUGGAGAUGAGGUUGCGUUUUGUGAUUGUAAUGAAUCGUGUCAAAUCGCUACUACAUGGACAUUGUCAAAUCUUGGAAGAAGAUUCCAUGGUUGCAAGAAUUAUGGGGUAUUUUUUUAUUUUGUCAAUAAAUGUGAGGGGAAUUUUUUUGGCAAUAUAAUUGGAUAUGGGUAUUUAGUAGUAAUUUCUAAUUUAGUUCCAUUUGCAAUAAUAAGCAAUCUAAUUUCUACAUCUAAUAGGGGUAUUAAUAUUGAUUACAACCGCCGAAGGCUUGCAAGUGCUUUUUGUGGUUUGAUCCACCAAUGUCGAAGAUGACGAAAAAUAUGACGGCAAAAUUCUUGAAGGAACCAAGGAAAGCCAAACAAGAGAACCAAUUCAUAAAAAAUUGAACUUGCAAGGUUGGAAGAAGAGAACAAGAUGAUGAAGGCUGAAAUUCAAAAGCUAAAAGAUAAGAGCAAAUUGAUAGUUUUGUUGUCAUUUGUUGUGGUUGUUUGUUAACUACUGUGCUUGUUGGCAACGACAAAAGAGGACAUGCUGUCUUGGACUUAGGGCUCCAAAUGUUAGUCUAGAUGAAUUAGGGAAGGCUAUGUAGUUAGAUUUAGCCUUUUGUCCACGAAACUUGCAAAGUUGCUGUGAUUGGCCUUAAUUUUUUUGGUUAUAGUGUGGUUGUAAGGCAUUGUAAACCAUUUGAUGUAGCAAUUGUCUAAGUAAUAUAUGCAAUGGUUUGACAAAUUGAGAAAUCUGGAUAUAUGCAAAGGCUAUGGCAACUUGGUGUCUAAAAAAUAUUUGACAGAAUUUCACCUUAAAAUUUGAUAUUCCGUUAACAUAACUAAACCAAGUAUCACUCGACAAAUGUCUAGCCAAAAAAAGACAAUAGGAAGUUUUCAUAUAACCAACAUGUUCUAGUCGUCCAAAGAGAUCAAUGCCAAGCUUUUAGUUCAUGUCUAGCCAACAAAUACAAGCCAAGGUAACAUAGGCAGACUUUUACAAAACAGUGACCCGGUUCAUUCUCUAUGCUUCCCCUACAAGAUCAGUACACUAUAAUUACAAUUGCAAGAUCUAUAUUAAGAAAACUUCAUUCCCUAAAUUCUUUGCUUUCAUGAAUAUCUUGUAGACCUGUAGUACGGUGAUGUGUACACUAAGUUCCAAAUGCACCUUCUCCUUAAAUUCCUUAACAGUCACUUUCUUAUUCAACAUUAAAAAUUUUGCAUACUUUCUAGUUAGAAAAUCUGAAGUGGCUCUUUCGUGGUAAAAUGUCCGGCCAUAAGUGCUCAGGUCCCACAGUUUUAUAUAACUGUGUAUAAACGACUGAAUAGUAAUAGUAAUAGUCUAUUUAGUCUAUUUAGUCUAUUUUAUUGUAUUCCUAAAACUAAUCCUUACCUCCAAAUGAAUUCUAUUAAAAUCAAUUACAAGUUACAUUUAAAUUAGACUUAACAAAAUUAGUCUAUUUCUAAUAAUGCAUAUAAAAAAUGGAAAUUAAAAGAUGAACAAGUUAUAACUUCAAUACACCCUCCAUUACAAGAAAUAAAAAUUAAUAUGGGACAAGGAGAAAUUAUAGCCUCACCUUUUAAAAAAGGAAGAGAAGCUGAAUCAAGUACAAAUAAUUCAAUAAAAUAGACCAAAUAAUAGAAGAAAAUUCUACUGAAGAAUCAGAAAAUUUAUCAGAAGAAUCAAUAGCUUCAGAUCUAGAAGAAAAUAUACUUUCACCAAUAGAAAAUCAAUUUGAAGAAGAAAAUAAUCAAAUAAAUCGAAUAAAAAGAAAGAAUUAUAAUAACAAUAAAAAUUGGAAAAUAGUAAGUUCAAAAAAUUAUUAUCCUAGACCAAGCCCUCCAGAUAUUCAAUAUGAAGAAAGAUCACAAUUUAGAACUACUAAAUAUGAUGGAGAUUCAAUCUAUGAAUGGAAUAUAGAUGGAAAAGCUGAAUAUGAAGUAUUAAAUAAUUUGCAAGAAAUGGGAAUGGCAAGACUAGCUUACAAAAUUAAAAACAUUCAAGAAAGAAAUAUUGCAACAUUAUUAGUCUCAGGAUUUACUGGACAAUUAAAAAAUAUUUACAAGAAGAUUUUGAUGAUGAAGAAAAUACUGAAAAAAGAAUUUGGUUUUUUCAAUUAGAAUCAGAUUAUAAAGAAAAAUUAAUUAUAGAAUGGAAAAAUGAAAUAGAUAAACAAAAGUUUGAUUUUCCUUUCUUUACAUGGUUAUCAUUUUAUAUGUCAAAAUUAGGAAUAAAUGAUAUAUAUAAUACACCUCAAAUAAAUGUUCAAACUAAUUUAUAUAAAAAAUGGAAAUUAAAAGAUGAACAAGUUAUAACUUCAAUACACCCUCCAUUACAAGAAAUAAAAAUUAAUAUGGGACAAGGAGAAAUUAUAGCCUCACCUUUUAAGAAAGAAAGAGAAGCUGAAUCAAGUACAAAUAAUUCAAUAAAUCUAGAAGAUCUUAAAAAAGUUUAUCAACAAAAUAAUUAUACAAAUCAAAUUCUACAUACAAUAUCUCAACAUAUGGUAUCAUACAAGCAGUUUUAGAAUUCCUUUGUAAAAUCCUCUCAAUCACUCUUACCUACUCCCAACUACUUUCAAUCCCUCUUUUCAAACUCUUGUACACAAUUGUCAAAUAUAAAGUCAAGGUUGAAGACUUAUAUUCUACAAAGCUUCCGUUAGCAACUCAAAGUUAUUUGUAAGUCCUAAUCUUUAUGCUUAUUGCACUUUGAUUGCAAUAAGCAUAAAGAUUAGGACUUACAAAUAACUUUGAGUUGCUAACGGAAGCUUUGUAGAAUAUAAGUCUUCAACCUUGACUUUAUAUUUGACAAUUGUGUACAAGAGUUUGAAAAGAGGGAUUGAAAGUAGUUGGGAGUAGGUAAGAGUGAUUGAGAGGAUUUUACAAAGGAAUUCUAAAACUGCUUGUAUGAUUUUUGCAUUGAAUAAUCUAUUAAGCAAAUCUUUUUUAUUAGGAAUAGGAUAUCUAAUCCAUUGUAAUACUUUAUUUAAAGGUUUAUAAUUUAUUACUAGUCAGUAUGGACUUUGAUUGCAAUAAGCAUAAAGAUUAGGACUUACAAAUAACUUUGAGUUGCUAACGGAAGCUUUGUAGAAUAUAAGUCUUCAACCUUGACUUUAUAUUUGACAAUUGUGUACAAGAGUUUGAAAAGAGGGAUUGAAAGUAGUUGGGAGUAGGUAAGAGUGAUUGAGAGGAUUUUACAAAGGAAUUCUAAAACUGCUUGUAUGAUUUUUGCUCGAUAGAUUAUUCUAAUAAAAAAGAUUUGCUUAAUAGAUUAUUCAAUGCAAAAAUAUUUUCCAAAUUUGAUAUGAAAUCAGGAUAUUGGCAAAUAAUAAUAGACCCAAAAGAUAGAUACAAAACAGCAUUUACAACACCUUUUGGACAUUAUGAAUGGAAAGUUAUGCCAUUUGGAUUAAAAAAUGCACCAUCAGAAUUUCAAAAUAUAAUGAAUGAUAUUUUCAAUCCUUACAGUUCAUUUAGUAUAGUCUAUAUAGAUGAUGUAUUAAUAUUUUCAGAAUCAAUAGAACAACAUUUCAAACAUUUAAGUAUAUUUUUAAAAGUAGUUAAGAAAAAUGGAUUAGUUGUUUCUGCUCCAAAAAUGAAGUUAUUUCAAACUAAAGUAAGAUUUUUAGGACAUAAUAUAUAUCAAUGAACAAUAAAACCAAUUAAUAGAGCUUUAGAAUUUGCUACUAAAUUUCCAAAUGAGAUAAAAGAUAAAAAUCAAUUGCAAAGAUUUUUAGGAUGUUUAAAUUAUAUAGCAGACUUCUUUGUGAUAAAUUAACAUAGUUAAGGGUUUACGCACUUAACCCUUAUGAGACUGUGCACUUGCAAUAAGGAGAAGUAAGAUUAAUAAACUUCACAUUACGAAUUCUAAUGAAUGCCUUGCAUCGAACCUAUUUACCAUAUAUUUCUUUUAUUUUUUUAUUAAACAAAGAGACUUUCAAUAAUUCAAAGAAGGCAAUACUAAUAAAAAAUACAAAAAAAAAGGAAAAGAUGCAAUAUAUCCUAUAGCUAUAUAAAAAGGAAUUUGUGCAUCAUUGUUCACAAGCUUUCAUCCACCUCCUACAUGGCUAAUGAAGUAAACACUUCUACCCAGGCAUAGCAUGUUCCUUUGUAAAAUCCUGAGACUAUUGAACAAACUAGUGAUUGGAAGUAUCACUGGCUUUGUGGUAGAUUGGUUAAAAAAGGAUAAUGCUUCAAGUCAAAGAAUGAAUCAAGACAUAAAGAAAACUUAACGAAAUGUUUUAAAUUUAGAAUCAAUCAAUUAGAUUCUUUCAUAAGAUAAGAAACUAAAUCUGGAGUUGACUCUGAAAAGUACUUUUGAUCAUACAAGAUAAAAAUGGUUUUAUCUUGAUUUGCAAGAAAUGGGAAUGGCAAGACUAGCUUACAAAAUUAAAAACAUUCAAGAAAGAAAUAUUGCAACAUUAUUAGUCUCAGGAUUUACUGGACAAUUAAAAAAUUGGUGGGAUAAUGCCUUAACAUUACAAGAUAAAUUAUCAAUACUAGAUCAUACUCAAGAAAUAGAAGAUGAUCAAGGAAAUAUUCAAAAACAAUCAGAUGCUGUAGAAUUUCUAAUAGUAACAAUAGUCAUGUAUUUUAUAGGAAAUCCAAAAGAGGAAUUAAAUUCAAAUAAAACAUUCUUAACAAAUUUAAGAUGUCCAACAUUAUCAGAUUUUAGAUGGUAUAAAGAUAUGUUUUUAACAAAUGUAUUAAGAAGACCAGAUUGUAAUGCUUCAUUCUGGAAAGAAAGAUUUAUAACUGGAUUACCAAGCUUAUUUUCACAAAGAAUAAUGGAUAAUUUACAAAAAGAAAUGGGAACAGAUGUCAUUUCAUUCGAGAAUAUAACUUUUGGACAACUAUUUGCUUUUGUGAAAGAAAUAACUAUACCAAGUGAAUUUGAAAUUAAAAAUCCACAAAUAGCUAGAAACAUAGAACAAACUACUGCAGAAGUUCCUUUGUCAUACAAGCAGUUUUAGAAUUCCUUUGUAAAAUCCUCUCAAUCACUCUUACCUACUCCCAACUACUUUCAAUCCCUCUUUUCAAACUCUUGUACACAAUUGUCAAAUAUAAAGUCAAGGUUGAAGACUUAUAUUCUACAAAGCUUCCGUUAGCAACUCAAAGUUAUUUGUAAGUCCUAAUCUUUAUGCUUAUUGCAAUCAAAGUCCAUACUGACUUCAUGCUUGUUAUGAUUGCAAUAAGCAUAAAGAUUAGGACUUACAAAUAACUUUGAGUUGCUAACGGAAGCUUUGAGAGAUACUAGACUAAAAAGAUAUAAAACUUCUUUACUAUCUAUGAUUCAAACAAAUGUAUGUAAUGGACCAAUAUAUUUUAACUGUGCUCCAAAUUCUUUUUUUUUUUCUGGAAACGAUAAAAAUAUUUAUUUUUACUAAUAGAGAAUAUUACAAUAUAUGAGCAAGGGGUCAAACUAGAUGUGCAUUACAAAAAUGUACUAAAACACAGGAUCAAAGAAUUCCUCAUCAAAUUUGCUUUUGUGAAAAAAGAAGGAUUAAUAUUAUGUUCAGAAUUAAGAUUACAAAUAAAAUAUGGAUCUAAAACCAAAGAAGUAGGAUCAUUUUGUGAUGACUUUGGAAUCAAAAGAAUUAAAUCACCAUCAGCUUAUAAAAAGAAAAUUAAAAAAUAUUCUAAGAAAACAAGAUAUAAAACUCCCAAGGAAAAUGAACCAACUAAAAGGUUAUAACUUCAAUACAAGACUUAUACACAAUUGUCAAAUAUAAAGUCAAGGUUGAAGACUUAUAUUCCAUUCAUAGAUUGAAUCUCCAUCAUAUUUAGUAGUUCUAAAUUGUGAUCUUUCUUCAUAUUGAAUAUCUGGAAGGCUUGGUCUAGGAUAAUAAUUUUUUGAACUUACUAGAUUCCAAUUAUUAUCAGAUUUUCCAGCAUUGACUUAUAGUCAAGCUGCUACUCCAAUUGCUUCUCAAAUUAGACCCAAAACAACUAAUCCAUUUUUCUUAACUACUUUUAAAAAUAUACUUAAAUGUUUGAAAUGUUGUUCUAUUGAUUCUGAAAAUAUUAAUACAUCAUCUAUAUAGACUAUACUAAAUGAACUGUAAGGAUUGAAAAUAUCAUUCAUUAUAUUUUGAAAUUCUGAUGGUGCAUUUUUAAUCCAAAUGGCAUAACUUUCCAUUCAUAAUGUCCAAAAGGUGUUGUAAAUGUUGUACUUUAGUAAUGGUAUUUAUUGCUUUAUAUAUUGAAGAUGUUUGUAAGGUUUGUAGUUCUUUCUGUCUUAUUGGAGUUAAGAAUUUGAAGGUAAUAAUUUUUUCCAUUAUAUUUACUGAAAUUCCUUCAUGACUUACUACAAAUGGAUAUAUUUGAAUUAGAAAGGGUGUACCUAAUAUUACAUUUACCUCAUUUGAAAUACUAAAUUGAUAUGUUAGUCAUUUUACCCAAUUCCAGACAAAAAGAAUCCAAAUAUUAUUAGUCAUUCCAAUUGUAUCAUAAAGAAAGUUUGUUCUCCUAAUGAAUGGACUUCUCUUUAUUCCAAAAAAUCCUUUUCAGUAAAUUUUAUUCCAGAUGGAUUUACAUAUCAAGAUUACAAAAUGGCAUGGUAUCGUGCUAUCCUUUUUAGACCAUUCAAUCAUUCCUGGUUCUUUACAUUCAAAGAAAGUUGCAGUAAAGAAAUUCCAAUUUGGUUCAAUCAUUGGUGGAAAUGGUUUGGACCUCAACCCGAAAUUCUACCUCCAAAUGUUCUCAUGGGAUUUCAAACCUAUCUAAAAAGAGCAAAGGGGGAAGAGUACACAAGACCAAUUUUAUUUCAUAUAGAAUUCAAAGUACCAUGGAUAUUCUGUUGGAGUUUCAAAAUUCAUCAAGAACUAGAAAAGCCUCUUCCAAUGUCUUUGGUAAGAGAAUUCAAAAUAAAAUGGUGGACCGGAUUCAAUCAAGAGUUCGGUGAUCAGACAAAUGUGAUAAGAUUCCUGACUACUGGAGAUAAAUUAAAGUGGACAGCUACUACCACUACUCAAAAGGAGUCCUUUUCAUAAGGUAAUUCUAUCAUAUGUAGUAACUAUUACAGUAGAAGAUUUCAAAGAAACAUUUGUAGCUCUUAUAGAUAGUGGAGCUGAUACAAGUUGUAUUAAGGAAGGAAUAAUUCCCACUAAAUAUUGUGAAAGAACAAAAGAAAAACUAAUGGCAGCAAAUGGACAAGAUUUAGAAGCAAAAUAUAAAUUUACAAAAGGUUCAAUAUGUAAUAAUGAAUAUUGUAUUAAACAUAAUUUCAUAAUUGUAAACAAUAUAAAUCAUGAUGUAAUAUUAGGUACACCCUUUCUAAUUCAAAUAUAUCCAUUUGUAGUAAGUCAUGAAGGAAUUUCAGUAAAUAUAAUGGGAAAAAUUAUUACCUUCAAAUUCUUAACUCCAAUAAGACAGAAAGAACUACAAACCUUUUAGAAUCAAAGAUAUGGAUUCUUUUUGUAAAAAUAAUCAAAUUCUACAUACAAUAUCUCAACAUAUGGAAGUAUUAAAUACAAAAAUUGAUACUCUAAAGAAACCAGAUUUAAAAUUCCCAAAUGAUAUAUCAGCACCUCAUUUUCAACCUAGAAGUUUGACAAGAGAAAAAGAGCAAGAUUUAAUACAAAAUAUUAAUAGUCAAAAAAUAAAUACUACAAAUAAUUUACUAAAUAAAAUAUCUAAUGCAUUACAAAAUCUAACUACAGAUUCUAAACCUUCAACUCCAAAAAUAAACACAUUGAAUUCGAAAAACAUACAAAGAAUUUUGCAAUAAUAUAUAGAAUAUAUUACAGACCUUUAUCAUCUCAUUUAAAUCCAAAAUUUAUAAUGACUCCAACUCUGAAAGAUGAAACAACUUUAUUACAAGUAGAUGCAGAUAAACCUACAACAUACACACUGUAGACACCAAAUUUUGGUGUAAUUUCAUUUGCUGUUUAUUUUUAAUUUUUUCAUUUUAGUUUUAUUCGAUUUUUAGUUUUAGUUUCUAGUUUUAUUUUUAUUUUUAUUUUUAUUUUUAAACUGUUAGCAUAGAAUCUCUUGGAAAAUAAAUGAAAAUGAGAAAGUGAAAAGAAAAGAGGAGAGAAAAGAAAAAAAAAAAGAAAAUUGCCCACAAAAUAUGUUUUAUGUCUUCUAAAUUCAAUCUUUUGGCAUUUUGUUUAUUUUUGUUAAGUUAUUUUGAAAAAAAAAAAGAAAAAAAAAGAGAAAAACGAUGAAAAUAGGAAAUGGAAAAGAAAUGGAAAUUGCACUUUAUUGUUCUAGUUUAUUUUUCAUCAAAUGUUAAUUAUUUUGUUUUGGUUAUUUCUUUUUAUUAUUAUCAAUUUUGUUUGUUUCAAAAAAAAAAUCAAAAAAUCACAAUUCUAUUUCUGCCGAAUCCAUUUCCAUUUUACAUUCCAGCACCUUCCAUCUCUAUGCCGACUUAUAACCACUAAUGCACUCCACUAUAUCACACACUAGUAUAUCAACUACCAUCCACCACAAUAUAUUUUUUUUUUCAAUGGCUUUUCAGCCGUGAGUGAGCAAGGCUUCCUGGGCCAACUUUAAAACAAAAACAUCUCCAAUUCUGCCGGAUGACAUCUGAGUCUCCACUCACACCCCAUUUCCCUUCAUUCGCGACUUGUUUCCCAUUUGAGCAACUCCAACAUUCCAGAACACCAGACCAUUUCACUUCAUCUCCUGCCUUGGUAUCAUCGAAGAGAGGAAAUCAGAGAGAGAGAGUUGCAGGCGGCAUUUCUGGAUAGCCGAAAGGAAGAAAAGAUUGCAGCUGCUAGUCGUGGGUUUUAGGCUUCAAGCUAAGGUAAAUUCUGGACUUAGAUGAAUUGUUUAUGGGUUGAUGCAGCUGUCUAUACGCAUGCAUGUGGGUUUGUGAGGUUAGAUGAGGAAUUGAGACUUAAGAAAUCUGGUUUGGAAGAAUUGGAGCUGCCGAAAGUUUGAGCUGGAAUUUGUAACUCUAAUUAGCUAAUCUGUGAUAAUCUGAGCCUAGAUGCACAUUUAAUCAACUAAAACCUGGAUGAUUAAGAUUUGCAUGAAGUUAGUUAACCUUGAUUAAGUCAGAAAAUUGAAAAGAUACAAAAUCAGGUUGCAUGCAAGCCAACCGGGAGCAGGAUUGUUUGAAAUUCUGGUUGAGUAAUGUUUUGAUGUUGUCCGAAUUUGCUUAUGGACCAAAAUUGAUAGAUAGUUUCUUAUUUGAUGUUGCAUGUAAGCUACGUGGUCUGAAUUUUGGUUGCAAGGCUGGAAAUGUUAAUGGAAGCUGAAGGAUUGCUGAAACAAUUUGUCCAGUUUAGCCGUUGAAGUUGUUUUGGAAAUUGCAUGGGUAUUUUAGCAUGAAAUUUGCUGGAAAGUGGUUGAUUUUCACUUGGUUAGGUGUUUGACUAAUUAAAAUUAGAUGAUUAAGCUUUGCAGGAAGUUUAUUGGUCCGGCUAAGCAAGAAAAAAAAAUGAAAUAGUGAACGGCUACAUGCAAGUUCAUCCAAGGAUGGCGAACAGAAUUUCUGGAUUUGUGGAUGUUUAUAGUUGCUGUCCGAACUUGAUCUGAACUAGAAAUGAUAGUAAUUUCAUUAAGUAGCCUUGCAUGUUAGUUUUGGGUACUUAACACAAUGAUUCAACCGAGGUAAAUUCGGAUUUAAGACCAACCAAGUGCUGGAAAAUUUAUGUGACUUGCCAAGGGAGUGAAACCAGAAUUUGCAGUUGUUUCUGGAAUUUUUCAUUAGCAAAUAAUGCUUGGAAAUGCAUGAAAAAUGUUGUUUUAAGUCUUGUAUGACAUUCAGUAGUAAACCAUUUGAAUUGUGGGCAGAUUUGGCCAAAAUUGUUGACACAUAGCUGCGGCAAUGUUGUAAUUAGAAAAUGCAGAAGUUUGCGACUUGUUUUCCUGAUUUGUUUGGGUCAGAGUUUAGUGUGAAUGUAGAUCAUUUCUGAUGUAUUUUGAAACUGAAAGUUUGUUGGAAACUCAUGGUAUGAAUUGCUGAAGUCACCAAGUUAUUUAAAAGUUCCUCCUUUCAAAAACACAGCAAGCAAAAGCUGCUGCAUUUUUUCGGUCUUUUCCCUGCCGCAUUUCCUUUCCUUUGGUUGCUGGUUAAGUUUUGCCCUUCAGUUUCAUGUUUGAUCUUGUGUUGGAGGGAAUCAAUGGAAGGUUGGGUGUUGAGUUUGAGUGUUUAAACAUCUAAAAUAUUUGAGCUGGAAAGUGGAUUUCAGAUUGCCAAAGUAUUCUACAUGAAUGUCUGUCCAGAUUUUCUGUAAUGCAUUAGCUCCUUCAUUGUUCUUGUUUGUUUGGAGUUGAGUUAAGCAGCUUGUUGUUUAGUUAGAGUUAAGAUGAUGGUUUGAGAAAUAUCUAAUCAAAGCUUUGUAUUUGAAUUAAAAAUCUGGUUUGCAUGAUGAAAAGAAAUGCCGUGGCUGAAAAAUUGUAGAAUGCUGCAGAGAAAAUUUUCCAGAUUUGCAUGCUCUCUUUCCUUGAAUUGUUGUGUUUACACAUAAGAGUUUUAUGAUUAAAAAGUGGAAAGAAUGUUUGGUAAUCUUGUCCAAACCUUUGUUGCCUAAGUUGUUCCUUGCGUUUGAACUGCAUCAGAAACCCUGAAAGUUGCAAUAAAAGAAAACGCAGCAUAGCUUCAGCCGAGUUGCAUGAGUUUUUGGGGGUGUUUUUCUGCCUUUUUUUGUUGCAUGUUCAGCUGUGUUGUGUUAAUCAAAGUGUUUAGUUGUUAAAUGGUGAUUGAGUGAGGGUCUUUGGUGGCUUUUGUUUGAAGUUUUCUAUGAAACCUGCAGUUGAGAGUUUAAAGUUGCAAAAAGGAAAAAUUCUGGAUGAAUGUUGCAGCAGAAAAUUUGCUUCAUCAUUUUUGCAGGCUCUUUUUGUUUGAUUGAUUGUUUUGUUGCAUUAUAAAGUGGGUAGAUCAAGUGGUGUUUUGUUAUUUUGUGCGAACUGCAUUUGUUUUGGUCUAAAAGCCUAAGGAAGUUCACAAAUUAUGAAGAAGUGCAGCUGGUUUGGCAUUGCAGAAAUUGUUUGUUGCAGAAAUUCUUCUUCUACGUGAUUUGCAUGCAUGGAACUUUCAAAAAUUUGCACUUUGGCCCCCAAGUCUCUCCUUGUUCUACUAGAACCCAAUCAAUUAAAUAAUUUCAUCAAUUUGGUCCUUGGCAAUUUUAAUUUGUGCAACUUCAUGGCUUGUUUUGUUUCAAUUAACUACCAUGUUUUGUCAAUUGCACUUAAGUCAUGACUUUAGGGGUUUCAUGACCGAAUGAGCUCGUGUUUGCCUAUUUUUUAAUUUCCCUAAAAUAAAUUGGUUGUUUGACCUUUUCUUGGCUCUUGAGACCUUUGGAGUGCUUAAAUGUUUCGAUUGAAUUCGAAUGGUUGACUAAGGUUUGCAAUUGGGUCUUUAAUUGGUAAUUGGGUCCUUGGUGGGUCCUUUUUCUGAAACUUAUGCAUUAUUUGAUUUCAUUUAAAUUGCAAUUAGGAGAGAUUUGGUGACUUUGUUAUACUUUACUAUUUGAGGUACCUUGACCUUUUUAUUGUUUUGAAGCCAUUUUUCUUUCAUUUGGACACCAUUCAAAGGGGCGGUAUAAUUUCUUUUAUCCCUUUUGUUUCUCUCCUAUGUGACCCAACGUGUUAAGUGAAUUGCAUGCCUACUUUGCUUUCCUAGUUUUUUCUCAAUUCCUUUUACUUAUGUCAUUUACUUUCAUUUUCAUGAAGUUAUUCUUUAAUGGGGUAUGUGUACACCUCUUGGCUUGUAAUAGAUAGAGCUUUGGCGAGCAAUUUGGUCCAUUUUACCCUUCCCCUUUUGUUUUAAUUAGUGAAUGUAAUAAGUUCAUUAGUUUGGUUGCAUGCCUAUGUGUUACGUGUUACUUGCUUUAUUAGGUUUUGCAUCUAGUCGAGCAUGUUAAGUGUUACGUGCUACGUGUUUAUGGGCGUUUGGCAUGUCUACUAGCUUUCUGUAGUGUAGAUGAAUGGAAUGGAUGAAUGUACGUUUCCACUAGUCCAACGCUAGUCGGAAUUCAUAGAAUGGGCUAGUCCAACGUUAGACCCUUAGGGAUUUCCCCUCGUUAGUACAUGUUUGUAUGUUCAUUACAUGUCAUGCAUUCUUUUUAGUUUUGUCAUUUUUUGCAUGCCCCCGAUUCCCUUUCCCCUCACUUUAGGACUUGCAUCUCAUGCUAGUUAGGGUACAUUUGCCUGAAGAGUCCCCUUCUGAUAAGGGAAACGAGCGAGUGUGGCUACUCGAUAGCCUUAGCACGCUAGUUCCGCCUUCUAAUCAAAGGGAAAAUCGAAGUCGAAAAGUUAGAAGUCAACCCCCGUACCCGACUUGUUGCAUUCCCCUAGGGUCAUACUUUCAUUUUUAUCACUUCCAUACUCUUUUAAUCACAUUUUUCUUACAUUUCGCAAUCCAUAUUUUUCACUACAUCUUUAUCAUUUAUUUACUUUACUUCACAAAUGAAAUUCAAGUUUCACUUAUAUAUGUACUAUUCUAUCUUCAUUCAUUUGCACACACAAACACUUUGAUUUUUCAUACAAAUUCACACAUGCACUUUCUUUACACAUUCGCACACAAACACUUUGUUUUUACAUGAAUCUUUUCAUACACUUGCACACUUGCACUUGAGUCACCAUUUGCAUCAAUCGACCUCUAUGAGGUUUCCCUUUAUUGGCCGCCACAAUUCAUGUGGUUUGGGACCAAAAACCUCACGAGAGACAUCAUAGAAUUUAGGAUUGCAUUUCUCAUUUAUUAGUCUUUGUCCAAAUUGUAAAUACAUACUUUGGGUAGGAAAAAUUAGGAAAAUAAGGGUUAAAUCACGCAACUAGCCUUGGCUAGGUCGAAGGGGUGCCUUGGAUUUUUAUCCUUGCCUUCCCCUUCGUCAAAUGUGACUCCCGAACCUUUUUCUUUGUUUGCGUGGACUAGGAGUCGUUCAAAAGGGUUUCUUACUUUUUUCCUUAAAAAAUUCACUUUUUGGGUGACUUGGUACACCCUAACUCUAUACCAAGUGGCGACUCCAUUUUUCAUAUAAAAAACCCUUUUUGAACUAUUUUUCUUGGGUCAAAUCGUCGCAUUUUCAAAAGUCCCAUUUAGACCCAUUUUUAUUUUUAUCAAAAAAUUCACUUUUUCCAAACCAAUAAAAUCACAAAAACAAGUAUUUUAUUUUUUCCAAAAAAGUGGGGCGUGACAGUUGGCGACUCCACUGGGGACUUCCUAAGUGGGUCCGAGCAUUUUUGAUUUAACCAUUCUUUUUCCUUUUUCUACCCCUUUUAUGAAUUGCAUUUGGAUAUUAGGGUUGCAUUUUUCAUUUUUAGAACUUUUUGAUUCACACGUAUCCAAUUACUCCCUCGUUCGUGAAUGUAUGGUUGGUUGAUUGGAUGUAUGUUUAUUUAUCUCGCGCUUGCAUUGCAUUUGGGUGGGGGACAUCACCCUAGAGCCUCGCAUUGGUUCUCGAUCCCUCCCCUCCAAAACGUGCACUAUCAUACGCGCAUACGCUUUACUUCUUUUAUCCCUUUUAUUUUUCUUUAGUGGCUUGUCACGCCACUCCACCCUGUUAGGAUUUUAGGCGACCUACUUGGACGUGUGAUUGUGACACGACGUGUGCGUAGCACGAUCCGAGGGGUCACUUAAUCUUCCGCUUUAAGUUUUGGGUUAAUAGCCUAUAGCUUUUAGUAGAAGAUUGAGGAUUUUUUAUAGAUUCACUCAGACAUGUGGCCGUGACACGACGUGUGCGUAGCAAUGUCUGGGGAAUCGCUCGAGCCACCGACAAAGAACCUUGGGAUUGAUGACCCUUGGUUUCUAAGUCUGAAAGCUCGGGGACCUAUGACCUAUCGAGUCUAGAUGCAUUAGUGAGCCCUAACCUCAUGCAUCCAUUAUAGAAUUGCCUAGGAUAGAGUCGGCUUUAUCCUGAACUAGGGACACUAUUCACGAGGGGAGGGGUCCAGCCCCUUUCUCCUUUUUAUUGCUUUAUUUCCUUGUGUUGAUUUCGUUGCUACAAUGUGUUAUAUGUAUUUAUCUGACUAGGCUAACUUUUCUUGGUUUUGUGCCCCAUUGCAUUCACAAACAUUAGCAAAUAAGAGGUCUGGCAUGACCUUCUUUUAUGGCCUACCUGUGUAGAUAGGACAUUACACGUUUAAAAAUUUUGGUAUAAUUCACUCAUAAGUUAAUAAUGCCAUACCAUUUUAGGCCUACCCUGGCAAAUAAAGGGUUCCUUAGGUCACGUUUCAUUUCGAAUUGCAUAUUUACAUCGCUUUAAUAAAUGGCAUCAUGCAUAAACCCUAGAAAGGGAAUGCCACUUAGGGAAUCCCGCGUUUAGGAAUAAACCACCUUUGUGUCUCGGAUACUUAAUCCAGUGAGACUUGCACGUUUACAUUUUGUACCAUCCAAAGGGGUAGUGCACAAGGUAAGGUAGGAUCCGAUCAUUUUCAUAGAGUGAUCUUUGGAAUAUGAGCAUCUAAUAAUCACUUUUUGGCCCUUUUAUCAAAAAUUGGUAAAAAUCCCUUGCGUGAAGGACAUUAAUUUGAAGAAAUUCACAAAUGAUUCCUCCUUUUGAGACGAUAAAUAAAUUAAGACCAAAAUUUGAUUUUUAGAAGGUCAUAGACUAAUGCACUUCAAUGAUUUUGAAAUAACCAAUGGCCGGGCAAUUCAACCAAUCCAUUUUGCCGAUUCAUUCAAUAAAUUGUCAAUUCAUUUGACCAAUUUACCCUUUUUAGGGUCAUCCGGUCAAUUUUGAGUAAAUCAUCAAUUCAUUUGACCAAUUUACCCUUUUUAGGGUCACCUGGUCAAUUUUGAAUAAAUUGUCAAUUUAUUUGAUCAAUUUACCCUUUUUAGGGUCAUUUGACCAAUCUACCCUUUUUAGGGUCAUCCGGUCGAUUUUGAAUAAAUCGUCAAUUCAUUUGACCAAUUUACCCUUUUUAGGGUCAUUCGACCAAUUUUUGAAUAAAUCACUAAUUCAAUUUCAUUCAUUUUGCCAAUUUACCCAUUUUUAGGGCAACCGAGCCGAUUUUGAAUAAAUCAAGUUUCGUUCAAUCUAUUUGAUCAAUUUACCCUUUUUAGGGUGAUCUGAUUAAUUUUGGAUAAAUUAAAUUUCAUUCAAUUCAUUUGACAUGUUCCCUUUUUUAGGGUAAUCUGGUCGAUUUUAAAUAAAUGAUCAAUUUCAUUCAACCCAUUUGACCAAUUAAGGUUUCAAGAUCGAAUUUCAAAUUGGGAAACCUAGUCGGUUUUAAGAAAACCGUCCACUGCAUCCAGCCAUUUGAUCAGUUGGGGUUUUGACCCGCGCUUUACUGAGGAAAUUUUGUCAAACGAAUUCCGGUCUCUUCGAUAGGAAGUUUGUCAAGGUCAAACCUGUGCGUUUUUACAAAUUCUUGUAUCGAUCAAAAGUGAUCAAUCCAUUCGGACGUUGACCUCAUUUUGACAAAGUGUCUCUCGUCACUCCAAUUGGCCAAAAUUUUCAAAUUAUUUUUCACUCCAUAAGCUGAUUGGAUCCAUCAGGUAUGGUAUAGUGCCUACUCUAGAGGAUUGCAUCCUCAUUCUAGGCCUACCCUUGGCGCAAAAAGGGUUCCCCCAUAGGACAUGCAUCCGAAUUUUCUGGAUAUCUACUAACUCUUGUUUUUUUUUCUUUUCUUUUUCUUUGUUUUUAUUGGAAUAACUAAGCAAGGGUUAAAUCUAAAGGCAAUUCCUUUCAAAAUUCUCAGGUAAUAUUUAAAUAUAGCUUCUCGUCGAAGCCCCAUCAUAACGCGAUCCCGUAGUCAAGCCCAGAGGAGUCGUGUAAACAUGAGUUCACAACCGGAACAGUCAGAUAGGUCUGCUACUACCGCUCAACCCGAGACUGCAAGUUUGGGGAUUCAGUUGACUGAGAUGCUUACCAAGUUUGGAGAGAUGGCGUCUGAGAUGGCCGCCCAAAAGAAGUUGAAUGAUGAGCUAAUUAGCAGCGGAGUUCAACCCGAACCUGUACCCGCCAGACAGCCUGAGCAAGAGCCGUUUGUCCUACCUUCGGCCCAUGCCACUGUUACUCCAUCAUUUCCUAUUGCACCCGAAGAAACUUUCACCUAUCCCACCACAAAUUUGCCAUACACUUACCCUCCUCAUCCUUCAUUUUUUCUUACUCACACGCGAGGUCCACCACCCCAAAUCACUUCAAAUAUACCACCUGAGCCACAUACCUUUUAUCACCCUGUUGCUGAGCCAUUCCUACCAGACCAUAUUGUUCAAACCAAGGCAGAAAUGGGGGAAUCUUCUGCUCCCGUUGAUAUAAAGCUGCUCAAACGCCUUGACCGUUUUGAUGAAUUUAUGAGGAAGAGUCAGGGGUUGAACAAGCAAGAAGUCCUAGAUUACGAUAAGCUUUGUUUCUUCCCAAAUGUGCAAUUGCCUGAGGGAUUCAAAACCCCUAAGUUUAACAAGUACGAUGGGACGGGUAAUCCCAAGACACACCUCCGACUAUUUGCUAACAAGUUGGGAAGGCCCAUAGAUGAUGAGAACCUGCCUCUAAGGUUGUUCCCGGAAAGUCUGGAGGGGGAUGCCCUCGACUGGUACUCAAAUUUGAAGUCCGAAGAAGUAAAAACCUGGAUUGACUUGUCCAAUGCUUUUGUAAGGCAAUACGAGUAUAAUUGCGAGCUGGCUCCAACACGAACCACAUUGGAAGGGACAAAGAGGAAGCCAUCUGAAGAUCACAAGACUUAUGCCAAGAGGUGGAGAAAAAUAGCUGCAAAAGUCGAGCCACCAAUGACUGAGGACGAAAUCAUACGCACUUUCAUUAAGGCACAUGAUCCUCCAUAUUUCGAAGAAAUUUUUCGCAUGACUGGAUGCUCGUUCGCUGCUAUUGUUAAUAAGCUUGAGGAAUUUGAUGAUUUCGUGAAAGUUGGGAAGAUUGUUAAUGUCUCUACCCUCAAGUCACAGUUGGAUGCUUUGCAAGGACAGGGGACUAGUGAGAAGAACCCGCAAUUCCAAAAGAAAGAGGGAGAAACUGCCUUCACAUGGAAUCAAAACCCUGUCCCAAGACCCAGACCUCGACAAUACCCUACCUACUCAAACCCUUACCAUUCAAACCAUCAUCCCGUUUAUCACACCAAUAUCACUCAUCCUCGACCUCGCCCAAAUUAUGCCAACCCGCCUACAACUCCUUUCCAAAUAUUUCAACCAAGCUUUCAACAAACUCGUCCUCGACCCCCUUACCACCAAAGAUUUUCCCCACCAAAUAGACCCACAUACAACUAUUCUCGACCCACUGAAACCUACAAUCAAAGCCGUACCCGAACCUUCGCCAACCUAGGCAGACCUUUGGACCAAUUGUAUGAGCAAUUGAAGGUUGCCAACAAAAUAGGCGUGAUUCCCCCUCCAACUUACCUUCAUGGCAUGCCUGUUGGGUACAAUCCACAUGCUAUUUGUGCCUAUCAUUCGGGAGUACCUGGCCACUCAACCGCCGAUUGCAGGGCACUUAAGCACAAAGUCCAAGACAUGAUCGAGGCAGGAGAAAUAGUGCUAAGGAAAAGAGGUGAACAAGCGCCGAUCAUAAGUACAAAUCCUUUUCCUAAACACCAGGACACCUUCGAGGCAUCCACCUCCAGCGACGAAAUUUGAAAAUCCUGAAGGAGCUUUGCACAAUUUGGAUGGCCGAGUAUCUUCCCUCUCGAAGGGAAUUUCGGUAAAUCUAGGGGUUUUUAUUUACUAAAGCUCACAAAAACCAUUUCUUGCAUAUGUGAAUAGCUUCAUGAAAACAUCUUUCGCAAUUAAGUUUUUGUCUUGUUUCCGCUUUGAUUAGUUUUUCCAUUAAAUGUACAAUUUGUUUAUUUGAUUAUUGUCCUGAAUUUUAAUUCUUUUAAAUGGCCAAAAAUGAAAUUAUUUGACCCUUUGAAUAUCACUGUUCUGGAUUCCGAUAAUACCAUUCAUCCAAAAGUCCCUUCAUUAAGAAAUCCCUUCAUUAAAAAUCCUUCAUUGAAAAAUCCCUUCAUUAAGAAAGCUCUUCAUUGAAAAUCCUUUCGUUAAGAAAGCCUUUCAUCAAGAAAUCCCUCCUCUGCCAAGUUCUAAGCUGAUUGGUUAAAGCAGCGUCACCGACAAUUGAUUUUGAUGGAUGAAAAGCAGUUGAAUGUCGUAUGGCCUGUGUUCAUAACAAAAAGGUCCGCCACCGGUCCUUUAGAGAAGAAGGACAAAGAGUUAAAGCGAGUUUUGCCAAUGCAAGAUGAAGUCAAAGACGAAUUUGAUCUAAACUGGUAAGGACAUUUGUCAUUCAAAAAGGUGCCACCGAGUGGAGCACUUAUCCUUGAAGAGAUGGAUGGGUAAACAUUCUCUCAACCUAUCAAAUCAGACAUGUGUAAGAAGUCUUUAUUUUUGAUUAUGCAAAUUUCUUUUGGAAAUCAUGCAAGGGACGAGGUAAAAGUCAGGCCAUCUUCCUUUUCAAUCAAAACAUUUCAUCCCUAGUUAUCCCUUUUGAGCCAUCAGAGCAGUAAUUUUCGUUUGGCAGCCCCUGAGAGUUGCAAACCCCACACUGGGGCCAAGUUAUUUUGGAAAAGAGAUGAACAAAAGAAAAGAAAACCCUACACUGGGGCAAAUUUAUUUUGAAAGAGAAAGAAAAAGCAGAAAACCCUACACUGGGGCAAAUUUUUGAAAAAGUUCAAAAGAAUGGCAAAAGGCCAAAAGACAAAUCAAAAAAAAAAAUGAAAAGGAAAAGAGAACCCCAUACUGGGGCAAAUUUAGCUUUGAAGAAAAAUGCAAAAAGUGAGGAAGAUGCAAUGGAAAAAGCAAAGAGAGAAAAUUCAAUCAAACUGGGGCAAAUUUCCCUCAGUUUCGUUCGAAAUUGAAGAUGAUUUCAAAUGAUGCAAUCUCAGGUUAUUUCACCUCUCAUAAGAGCAAAUUGUUUUCAAGCCUUAACUUUUCUUGACAUAUCCCACCUGACUCCAUUACAAAAGCCCAAAGUCCUGACUUUCGUCAAUUGCUAUAUUUCUAUUGGAAAGUUUGCUAAUCAACUGACAAGUGAUGUCCAUAAUGCCUUCGCUUAAUCUUACAAGGGAAGUGCAUUUUACUGAUGUCAGAAAUCUUUAACUCAUACUUCUGAGGCGAUUAUGGUUGAGCUCUUCCAUUGCUUUCUUACGUAAAAACCCGAAAGGGCACCUCAAAAAGAAAAAAAAGGAAAAAAAGAAAAAAAAGAAAAAAAGAGAAAAGACAAAACAAAACAAAAAAAAAGGGGUGGGGGCAACCUUGAUGAAAACCCGAAAGGGCGCUAGGUAGGUUUCUUCAAUGAGCAAACACGAGGAAGAACAGUUGAUGACUUGGUUCAUUUGGAAUUUCUCUUCAUAAUACUUCUGCCAGUGUCGAAUUGCAGAACAAAGAUAUUCAGGAACUCGAAUAUGACAUCCGUUGGCCAAAACUGUGUCGUUUUGUAAAAAUAUUUCUUUAGCAAAUUCAUUCUUAGGAAGCUCAUUUUUUCUCAAUUGCUUGUAUUCAUGGCAUUUUUGUAGGCUUUAAGCACAAAUGGUUUGUGUUUGCAUUCUUUCACAUAUUCAUUUCUGCAUGAUAGGUGAAAUUACUUUUUAAUCAUCGAAUUUUGGUGAAUGAUAACCCCAUGGUUUAUUCAAAGCAUACUUGGGUUCAGUCAUCUUGCGAAAAUGGUUGAAAUUCAGCAAGGUCGGUUACGCAAGCUUCACAAUAUGGCAAAAUGCACGCUCGGUUAGUCGGGAAAAAUCAGAGACGUUUAGAAAUGACAAAUCCAACCAAGUCAGAUGCCACGGUCAACUUUGACGAAGGCACCCAAAGACUCAUGUUUACACGAUUCUCAAGGACAAACGGAUCAAAUAAUGGUGGCAAUUCCUUUGUUUUUUCUCUUUUGCAGGAAAUUUCAUGCAUGGAUGAAAACAAUCACACCUCGCACUGAAAUCGGUGUCGGAAAGAGUUCUAAUGAACAAAGGCAGAUUGAAAAUGUCGCAAGCAAAUUUCAUCAAAAAGUGCAACAGCAUGGCGAUACAGAAUCAACUCUGGACUCAAAUAGCAAAAAUUCAUCAUACUGGGGCAAAUUAAUUUUUUGAAAAGAUUUUGAAAAGUCAAAAAGAAAAGUCAAAAAGAAGCAAAAAUCAUCAAUCAAAAACCAAAAUCGAAUCAAAUUUCAUCACGGCAGGAUCGGGUUUAAUCCCACUGACCGACAAAAACAUUUUCGGGUCAGUCAUCAAAGCAUUUUCGGGUCAGUCCCUCGAUCAAAAACAUUUUCGGGUCAGUCCCUCGAUCAAAAGCAUUUUCGGGUCAGUCCCUCGAUCAAAAACAUUUUCGGGUCAGUCCCUCGAUCAAAAGCUCAUUCGGGUCAGUCCCUCGAUCAAAAGUAUUUUCGGGUCAGUCCCUCGAUCAAAAGCUCAUUCGGGUCAGGUCAGUCCCUCGAUCAAAAAAAGCGGGUCAGUCCCUCGAUCAAAAGGGUCAGUCCCUCGAUCAAAAGAUUCGGGUCAGUCCCUCGAUCAAAAGUAUUUUCGGGUCAGUCCCUCGAUCAAAAGCUCAUUCGGGUCAGUCCCUCGAUCGAUUUUCAGUCCCUCGAUCAAAAGCUCAUUCGGGUCAGUCCCACGAUUCAAAGCUUAUUCGGGUCAGUCCCGCGAUUAAAGCUUGUUCGGGCCAGUCCCAUGAUUUGAAUUUCCUUCUCUAGUCAGUCCCAAUUUUAAAUUUCUGCUCGGGUCAGUCCCGUUUUAAUUUCCUGUUUGGGUCAAUCCCAUUUCAAAAAAAAAAAAAUGUUAAAGAGGUCGAUCCUCAUUUCAGAAGCGUCCAUUGCAGCCGAAUAACACAGGUAAGUAUUUGGUGUCUACUUCUUUGUCUCAAGUUUUUUCAAAACUCAGACAAAGAGGGGCAAACUGUAGACACCAAAUUUUGGUGUAAUUUCAUUUGCUGUUUAUUUUUAAUUUUUUCAUUUUAGUUUUAUUCGAUUUUUAGUUUUAGUUUCUAGUUUUAUUUUUAUUUUUAAGCUGUUAGCAUAGAAUCUCUUGGAAAAUGAAUGAAAAUGAGAAAGUGAAAAGAAAAGAGGAGAGAAAAGAAAAAAAGAAGAAAAUUGCCCACAAAAUAUGUUUUAUGUCUUCUAAAUUCAAUCUUUUGGCAUUUUGUUUAUUUUUGUUAAGUUAUUUUGAAAAAAAAAAAGAAAAGAAAAAAAAAGAGAAAAACGAUGAAAAUAGGAAAUGGAAAAGAAAUGGAAAUUGCACUUUAUUGUUCUAGUUUAUUUUUCAUCAAAUGUUAAUUAUUUUGUUUUGGUUAUUUCUUUUUAUUAUUAUCAAUUUUGUUUGUUUCAAAAAAAAAUCAAAAAAUCAAAAAAUCACAAUUCUAUUUCUGCCGAAUCCAUUUCCAUUUUACAUUCCAGCACCUUCCAUCUCUAUGCCGACUUAUAACCACUAAUGCACUCCACUAUAUCACACACUAGUAUAUCAACUACCAUCCACCACAAUAUAUUUUUUUUUUCAAUGGCUUUUCAGCCGUGAGUGAGCAAGGCUUCCUGGGCCAACUUUAAAACAAAAACAUCUCCAAUUCUGCCGGAUGACAUCUGAGUCUCCACUCACACCCCAUUUCCCUUCAUUCGCGACUUGUUUCCCAUUUGAGCAACUCCAACAUUCCAGAACACCAGACCAUUUCACUUCAUCUCCUGCCUUGGUAUCAUCGAAGAGAGGAAAUCAGAGAGAGAGAGUUGCAGGCGGCAUUUCUGGAUAGCCGAAAGGAAGAAAAGAUUGCAGCUGCUAGUCGUGGGUUUUAGGCUUCAAGCUAAGGUAAAUUCUGGACUUAGAUGAAUUGUUUAUGGGUUGAUGCAGCUGUCUAUACGCAUGCAUGUGGGUUUGUGAGGUUAGAUGAGGAAUUGAGACUUAAGAAAUCUGGUUUGGAAGAAUUGGAGCUGCCGAAAGUUUGAGCUGGAAUUUGUAACUCUAAUUAGCUAAUCUGUGAUAAUCUGAGCCUAGAUGCACAUUUAAUCAACUAAAACCUGGAUGAUUAAGAUUUGCAUGAAGUUAGUUAACCUUGAUUAAGUCAGAAAAUUGAAAAGAUACAAAAUCAGGUUGCAUGCAAGCCAACCGGGAGCAGGAUUGUUUGAAAUUCUGGUUGAGUAAUGUUUUGAUGUUGUCCGAAUUUGCUUAUGGACCAAAAUUGAUAGAUAGUUUCUUAUUUGAUGUUGCAUGUAAGCUACGUGGUCUGAAUUUUGGUUGCAAGGCUGGAAAUGUUAAUGGAAGCUGAAGGAUUGCUGAAACAAUUUGUCCAGUUUAGCCGUUGAAGUUGUUUUGGAAAUUGCAUGGGUAUUUUAGCAUGAAAUUUGCUGGAAAGUGGUUGAUUUUCACUUGGUUAGGUGUUUGACUAAUUAAAAUUAGAUGAUUAAGCUUUGCAGGAAGUUUAUUGGUCCGGCUAAGCAAGAAAAAAAAAUGAAAUAGUGAACGGCUACAUGCAAGUUCAUCCAAGGAUGGCGAACAGAAUUUCUGGAUUUGUGGAUGUUUAUAGUUGCUGUCCGAACUUGAUCUGAACUAGAAAUGAUAGUAAUUUCAUUAAGUAGCCUUGCAUGUUAGUUUUGGGUACUUAACACAAUGAUUCAACCGAGGUAAAUUCGGAUUUAAGACCAACCAAGUGCUGGAAAAUUUAUGUGACUUGCCAAGGGAGUGAAACCAGAAUUUGCAGUUGUUUCUGGAAUUUUUCAUUAGCAAAUAAUGCUUGGAAAUGCAUGAAAAAUGUUGUUUUAAGUCUUGUAUGACAUUCAGUAGUAAACCAUUUGAAUUGUGGGCAGAUUUGGCCAAAAUUGUUGACACAUAGCUGCGGCAAUGUUGUAAUUAGAAAAUGCAGAAGUUUGCGACUUGUUUUCCUGAUUUGUUUGGGUCAGAGUUUAGUGUGAAUGUAGAUCAUUUCUGAUGUAUUUUGAAACUGAAAGUUUGUUGGAAACUCAUGGUAUGAAUUGCUGAAGUCACCAAGUUAUUUAAAAGUUCCUCCUUUCAAAAACACAGCAAGCAAAAGCUGCUGCAUUUUUUCGGUCUUUUCCCUGCCGCAUUUCCUUUCCUUUGGUUGCUGGUUAAGUUUUGCCCUUCAGUUUCAUGUUUGAUCUUGUGUUGGAGGGAAUCAAUGGAAGGUUGGGUGUUGAGUUUGAGUGUUUAAACAUCUAAAAUAUUUGAGCUGGAAAGUGGAUUUCAGAUUGCCAAAGUAUUCUACAUGAAUGUCUGUCCAGAUUUUCUGUAAUGCAUUAGCUCCUUCAUUGUUCUUGUUUGUUUGGAGUUGAGUUAAGCAGCUUGUUGUUUAGUUAGAGUUAAGAUGCUGGUUUGAGAAAUAUCUAAUCAAAGCUUUGUAUUUGAAUUAAAAAUCUGGUUUGCAUGAUGAAAAGAAAUGCCGUGGCUGAAAAAUUGUAGAAUGCUGCAGAGAAAAUUUUCCAGAUUUGCAUGCUCUCUUUCCUUGAAUUGUUGUGUUUACACAUAAGAGUUUUAUGAUUAAAAAGUGGAAAGAAUGUUUGGUAAUCUUGUCCAAACCUUUGUUGCCUAAGUUGUUCCUUGCGUUUGAACUGCAUCAGAAACCCUGAAAGUUGCAAUAAAAGAAAACGCAGCAUAGCUUCAGCCGAGUUGCAUGAGUUUUUGGGGGUGUUUUUCUGCCUUUUUUUGUUGCAUGUUCAGCUGUGUUGUGUUAAUCAAAGUGUUUAGUUGUUAAAUGGUGAUUGAGUGAGGGUCUUUGGUGGCUUUUGUUUGAAGUUUUCUAUGAAACCUGCAGUUGAGAGUUUAAAGUUGCAAAAAGGAAAAAUUCUGGAUGAAUGUUGCAGCAGAAAAUUUGCUUCAUCAUUUUUGCAGGCUCUUUUUGUUUGAUUGAUUGUUUUGUUGCAUUAUAAAGUGGGUAGAUCAAGUGGUGUUUUGUUAUUUUGUGCGAACUGCAUUUGUUUUGGUCUAAAAGCCUAAGGAAGUUCACAAAUUAUGAAGAAGUGCAGCUGGUUUGGCAUUGCAGAAAUUGUUUGUUGCAGAAAUUCUUCUUCUACGUGAUUUGCAUGCAUGGAACUUUCAAAAAUUUGCACUUUGGCCCCCAAGUCUCUCCUUGUUCCACUAGAACCCAAUCAAUUAAAUAAUUUCAUCAAUUUGGUCCUUGGCAAUUUUAAUUUGUGCAACUUCAUGGCUUGUUUUGUUUCAAUUAACUACCAUGUUUUGUCAAUUGCACUUAAGUCAUGACUUUAGGGGUUUCAUGACCGAAUGAGCUCGUGUUUGCCUAUUUUUUUAAUUUCCCUAAAAUAAAUUGGUUGUUUGACCUUUUCUUGGCUCUUGAGACCUUUGGAGUGCUUAAAUGUUUCGAUUGAAUUCGAAUGGUUGACUAAGGUUUGCAAUUGGGUCUUUAAUUGGUAAUUGGGUCCUUGGUGGGUCCUUUUUCUGAAACUUAUGCAUUAUUUGAUUUCAUUUAAAUUGCAAUUAGGAGAGAUUUGGUGACUUUGUUAUACUUUACUAUUUGAGGUACCUUGACAUUUUUAUUGUUUUGAAGCCAUUUUUCUUUCAUUUGGACACCAUUCAAAGGGGCGGUAUAAUUUCUUUUAUCCCUUUUGUUUCUCUCCUAUGUGACCCAACGUGUUAAGUGAAUUGCAUGCCUACUUUGCUUUCCUAGUUUUUUCUCAAUUCCUUUUACUUAUGUCAUUUACUUUCAUUUUCAUGAAGUUAUUCUUUAAUGGGGUAUGUGUACACCUCUUGGCUUGUAAUAGAUAGAGCUUUGGCGAGCAAUUUGGUCCAUUUUCCCCUUCCCCUUUUGUUUUAAUUAGUGAAUGUAAUAAUUUCAUUAGUUUGGUUGCAUGCCUUUGUGUUACGUGUUACUUGCUUUAUUAGGUUUUGCAUCUAGUCGAGCAUGUUAAGUGUUACGUGCUACGUGUUUAUGGGCGUUUGGCAUGUCUACUAGCUUUCUGUAGUGUAGAUGAAUGGAAUGGAUGAAUGUACGUUUCCACUAGUCCAACGCUAGUCGGAAUUCAUAGAAUGGGCUAGUCCAACGCUAGACCCUUAGGGAUUUCCCCUCGUUAGUACAUGUUUGUAUGUUCAUUACAUGUCAUGCAUUCUUUUUAGUUUUGUCAUUUUUUGCAUGCCCCCGAUUCCCUUUCCCCUCACUUUAGGACUUGCAUCUCAUGCUAGUUAGGGUACAUUUGCCUGAAGAGUCCCCUUCUGAUAAGGGAAACGAGCGAGUGUGGCUACUCGAUAGCCUUAGCACGCUAGUUCCGCCUUCUAAUCAAAAGGGAAAAUCGAAGUCGAAAAGUUAGAAGUCAACCCCCGUACCCGACUUGUUGCAUUCCCCUAGGGUCAUACUUUCAUUUUUAUCACUUCCAUACUCUUUUAAUCACAUUUUUCUUACAUUUCGCAAUCCAUAUUUUUCACUACAUCUUUAUCAUUUAUUUACUUUACUUCACAAAUGAAAUUCAAGUUUCACUUAUAUAUGUACUAUUCUAUCUUCAUUCAUUUGCACACACAAACACUUUGAUUUUUCAUACAAAUUCACACAUGCACUUUCUUUACACAUUCGCACACAAACACUUUGUUUUUACAUGAAUCUUUUCAUACACUUGCACACUUGCACUUGAGUCACCAUUUGCAUCAAUCGACCUCUAUGAGGUUUCCCUUUAUUGGCCGCCACAAUUCAUGUGGUUUGGGACCAAAAACCUCACGAGAGACAUCAUAGAAUUUAGGAUUGCAUUUCUCAUUUAUUAGUCUUUGUCCAAAUUGUAAAUACAUACUUUGGGUAGGAAAAAUUAGGAAAAUAAGGGUUAAAUCACGCAACUAGCCUUGGCUAGGUCGAAGGGGUGCCUUGGAUUUUUAUCCUUGCCUUCCCCUUCGUCAAAUGUGACUCCCGAACCUUUUUCUUUGUUUGCGUGGACUAGGAGUCGUUCAAAAGGGUUUCUUACUUUUUUCCUUAAAAAUUCACUUUUUGGGUGACUUGGUACACCCUAACUCUAUACCAAGUGGCGACUCCAUUUUUCAUAUAAAAAACCCUUUUUGAACUAUUUUUCUUGGGUCAAAUCGUCGCAUUUUCAAAAGUCCCAUUUAGACCCAUUUUUAUUUUUAUCAAAAAAUUCACUUUUUCCAAACCAAUAAAAUCACAAAAACAAGUAUUUUAUUUUUUCCAAAAAAGUGGGGCGUGACACACACCAAAAAGAUUAAAAUGGAACGAAAUAACUAUACCAAGUGAAUUUGAAAUUAAAAAUCCACAAAUAGCUAGAAACAUAGAACAAACUACUGCAGAAGAUAUUAUAGAAAAAGCAGAUGGAAGUACACUCAUAAGAUUCACCUCAUUAAGAGAAAGACCAGAUAUUCUGCUAUUCAUGGUUACCAGCUUUUCUAGUUAUUUGGUCAGAUAAUUAAAUAUACAAGGAAAUGGUCUAUUAGCAUUUAUCUAAUAUUACAUUUGAGGGUUGCAAUACUAACAUGAUAUUGUAAUAAAAUAUUUAGUCUAUUUAGUCUAUUUAAUCUAAUAGGAAUCUUAUGCCACAUUCAAAUAGUCUAUUUUAAUUUCUAUUUUAUUAAAAUCCAUAGUUUUAUGUAUAUCUAAAUUUCAAGAUGGUUUAUAUAAUAAGAAAUUCUUGAUUAGAAUAGAUUGUAAAUCUGCAAAAGAAAUUUUACAAAAAGAUGUUCAAAAUAUAGUUUCAAAACAAAUAUUUGCAAGAUGGCAGGCUAUUUUAUCUGUAUUUGAUUUCGAGAUUGAAUUUAUCAAAGGAGAAAAUAAUUCUUUACCAGAUUUUCUUACUAGAGAAUUUCUACAAGGACAUAGAUCCAGCAAUGAUAGCUCAAAGAAAUGCUCGUGAAUAUUCAAAUUAUUUGAGAUCACAACGAGAUUCUCCAAAGCUUCAGAACAAAGAAAAAAUGAUUCAAUCCAGAGGAUAUGUAUAUUCCAUUCAGACCCAGAAUGGAAGACAAGUUAUUCCAGCCUACCAAAUUCCUAAAUACGAUGAAAUUUAUGUUCAAAAAUAAUUCCUUUGUAUCGGGCAAAAAUCAUACAAGCAGUUUUAGAAUUCCUUUGUAAAAUCCUCUCAAUCACUCUUACCUACUCCCAACUACUUUCAAUCCCUCUUUUCAAACUCUUGUACACAAUUGUCAAAUAUAAAGUCAAGGUUGAAGACUUAUAUUCUACAAAGCUUUCGUUAGCAACUCAAAGUUAUUUGUAAGUCCUAAUCUUUAUGCUUAUUGCAAUCAAAGUCCAUACUGACUUCAUGCUUGUAUAUAAAUAUUAUUCAAGUCUAGCAAUUAUUCAAGUCUAGCAAGUAUUCAUGCUUGAAUACUAAAAUAUUUCCCAUUUAAUUAUUCAAGAAGAUAAUUAAGCUUUUUAAUCUUUCCAAAUAUUCUUUUUUAGCUAUUGGAUCGUCAAUUUUUUCUAUUAUAUCUAAUAGGAAUUCUUUGUCUUCUUUUUUAGUUAUAACAUUUAUAUAUUUUGGAUUACAAUUACAAUCUCCUUCACUAUCUGAACUAGUAAUAUCAUCAUAAUAGUCUUCUUCUGAACUUUUAUCCUUUUCAUUUAUUAACAAAUUUAUUAGUUUAUUUUUAAUUUCUUCUUCGUUUGAACAAAUUUCAGUUAUUUUUUCUUUUAAUCUACAUUUGUUGGCUAUUUAUAUUGCAAACCUCAUUUGAAAUACUUUUUUAUCAGAACCAUUGCAACCCUCAAACGGCCCUCUGUUUGGAUUGCUAUUUUAUGGAAUUUUUAUUUAAAAAAAUAUAAUAUAGUGAUUUGACGUAUAUAAGGUAAAAAAAAAAAGAUUGAAAAAUGUGUUUACGAAAACGUAAAAAUGUGUUCAAGGGCAAAUAUUGGGUCAGUUGUAGCUUGAGGGGAAUUUUGCCAAUCUAGUCUCUGAAUAUUUUGACUAAAACUAAUUUCGUUCUUGAUAAAUUGUUUUAACCAAUUUAGUCCUUGAAUAAGUUUCUUACAUCCAAUGUAGGACUUUUCACUACAUUUUACUCAAUCCACAUGGACCUAUUGGGGCAUAAUCAUCACACUAGCCUAAUCUUUUGCAAUUAAUCAGCGAAACAGAUUAGUAAGAUCAUUAAAAUAAAGGGGUAAGCAUCUAGUUUUUGAAGACAUUGGGGCUCCUCACAAUUUCUCAAUUCUCUUUGUGAAGAAGCUCCAAUAAGAUGCAUCCGCGAAGAAACUACCUCAAUGAUGCAUCAAGUUCGAGCAGCUGCCAAUAAUCAAAUCAUGAGAAUGAAGAAAGUGGAAAAUUAUCAGAGGUGAAGAGAGGGAAGGUAGAUCACUACAAUGGAGAUGAGGUUGCGUUUUGUGAUUGUAAUGAAUCGUGUCAAAUCGCUACUACAUGGACAUUGUCGAAUCUUGGAAGAAGAUUCCAUGGUUGCAAGAAUUAUGGGGUAUUUUUUUAUUUUGUCAAUAAAUGUGAGGGGAGUUUUUUUGGCAAUAUAAUUGGAUAUGGGUAUUUAGUAGUAAUUUCUAAUUUAGUUCCAUUUGCAAUAAUAAGCAAUCUAAUUUCUACAUCUAAUAGGGGUAUUAAUAUUGAUUACAACCGCCGAAGGCUUGCAAGUGCUUUUUGUGGUUUGAUCCACCAAUGUCGAAGAUGACGAAAAAUAUGACGGCAAAAUUCUUGAAGGAACCAAGGAAAGCCAAACAAGAGAACCAAUUCAUAAAAAAUUGAACUUGCAAGGUUGGAAGAAGAGAACAAGAUGAUGAAGGCUGAAAUUCAAAAGCUAAAAGAUAAGAGCAAAUUGAUAGUUUUGUUGUCAUUUGUUGUGGUUGUUUGUUAACUACUGUGCUUGUUGGCAACGACAAAAGAGGACAUGCUGUCUUGGACUUAGGGCUCCAAAUGUUAGUUUAGAUGAAUUAGGGAAGGCUAUGUAGUUAGAUUUAGCCUUUUGUCCACGAAACUUGCAAAGUUGCUGUGAUUGGCCUUAAUUUUUUUGGUUAUAGUGUGGUUGUAAGGCAUUGUAAACCAUUUGAUGUAGCAAUUGUCUAAGUAAUAUAUGCAAUGGUUUGACAAAUUGAGAAAUCUGGAUAUAUGCAAAGGCUAUGGCAACUUGGUGUCUAAAAAAUAUUUGACAGAAUUUCACCUUAAAAUUUGAUAUUCCGUUAACAUAACUAAACCAAGUAACACUCGACAAAUGUCUAGCCAAAAAAAGACAAUAGGAAGUUUUCAUAUAACCAACAUGUUCUAGUCGUCCAAAGAGAUCAAUGCCAAGCUUUUAGUUCAUGUCUAGCCAACAAAUACAAGCCAAGGUAACAUAGGCAGACUUUUACAAAACAGUGACCCGGUUCAUUCUCUAUGCUUCCCCUACAAGAUCAGUACACUAUAAUUACAAUUGCAAGAUCUAUAUUAAGAAAACUUCAUUCCCUAAAUUCUUUGCUUUCAUGAAUAUCUUGUAGACCUGUAGUACGGUGAUGUGUACACUAAGUUCCAAAUGCACCUUCUCCUUAAAUUCCUUAACAGUCACUUUCUUAUUCAACAUUAAAAAUUUUGCAUACUUUCUAGUUAGAAAAUCUGAAGUGGCUCUUUCGUGGUAAAAUGUCCGGCCAUAAGUGCUCAGGUCCCACAGUUUUCAUCGCAAGGUAGUCAUCACUUGAUUCAAUCUUAAACAGCAUCCAUUCACAAACUUCUGCCUUGCAUUUAACUCUCAUCCAUGUGGCAUCUUAUUUUUCCUACUAAAUAUCUUUGCCCCACUUGACUAUGUAGUUGUCCAUUGCUAAAUUGAACAACUUUUUAUCAUCAAAGACUUGUCCAACAUGGAAUUUAGGAUCUUCCAUGUUAACUUCAGGCCUGAACCUUACUAGACUAGGCUUCUUAGGCUUCCUUUUCUUUCUACUGUCUUCAUUUGAGGAAGAGUGGUCACUGUUCAACUCAUCUAAGCCAAGUGAUUCAAAUUCUUCAUGGAUCGGAAUAUGAUCUCCUUCAUCCAAGUGCAGGUCCUUAAAACUAGUAGGUUUGGCCCUAGGUUUUUUCUUCUUAGCUACAGGUGUUGGAAUUUUAUGGUUUUUACCCUUCUUGCCCCUAUUUUUCCCUCUACCACUAGGUUGAAUCUUCCAAUUCAACCCCCUAACUCUUGCUCAGGAGGAGCAAUGCCACUAUAGAAUAUCAUAUCUUCAUCAUCAUGACUAAAAUCGUAAUCACUGUGGUGGAUGUUUUCACCAAGGGAUGAAUCCGAAUGGGCAGCAUCAUUGGGCCUGUUUGGAACCUGAGUUUUUUGGGAGUUUGUCUAAAACUUUACUGUAGUGCACUGUAGAAGUUUUUGAAAAAAUUUUGUAGAAAUUUUUGUAAGGUGAAAAAUUUUUGUGUAGAAGUUUUUGAAAUGUUACUGUAGACGUUUUUUGGAUUAUUUUUAGAGGUAUUUUUAAAACACAUUUUUGAGUAUUUUAUAAUUUAUAAUUUUUAUAUUUUUAAACAUUUAUGCAUUUACAAUACAUUUAUAAAUAUUUAUAAAUAUUUAGAAAUAAAUAUAUUUAUAUAUUUAUAUAAAAAUAUAUAAAUGUAUUAUAUUAUAUAUAAUACGUAAUAUACAUAUAUUUAUAAAUGUAUAAUUAAUAUAAAUGUAUAAAUUAUAAAUGAAUAUUAUAUAAAUGUAUAAAUUAUAAUUUAUAAAUGUAUAUGAUGAUUAUGUAAAAAUGUAUUAAUAUAAUUAAUAUAAAUAUAUAAAUGUAUUAAUAUUAUGUAUAAAUGUAUAAUUAAUAUUGUUUAUAAUUUAUAAUUUAUAUUGUUUAAAUAUUUAUAUGCAUUUAUGCAUUUAUAAUACAUUUAUAAAUAUUUAUAAAUAAAUAUAUUUAUAUAAAAAUAUAUAAAUUUAUUAUAUUAUAUAUAAUACAUAAUAUACAUAUAUUUAUAAAUGUAUAAAUGUAUAAUUAAUAUAAAUGUAUAUAUUAUAAAUGAAUAUUAUAUAAAUGUAUAAAUUAUAAUUUAUAAAUAUAUAUGAUGAUUAUGUAUAACUGUAAUAUAAUUAAUAUAAAUGUAUUAAUGUAUUAAUAUUAUGUAUAAAUGUAUAAUUAAUAUUGUUUAUAAUUUAUAAUUUUUAUUGUUUAAAUAUUUAUAUAUAUUUAUGCAUUUAUAAUACAUUUAUAAAUAAAUAUAUUUAUAUAGUUAUAUAAAAAUAUAUAAAUGUAUUAUAUUAUAUAUAAUACAUAAUACAAAUAUAUUUACAAAUGUAAUAAUUGUGUAUUAUUAUAAAUGAAUAUUAUAUAAAUAUAUAAAUUAAUAUAUUAUAAAUAUAUAAAUAUAUAUAAAUGUAUUAAUAUAAUUAAUAUAAAUGUAUAAAUGUAUUAGUAUUAUGUAUAAAUGUAUAAUUAAUAUUGUGUGUUAAUAUUAUGUAUAAAUGUAUUAAUAUAAAUGUAUAAAUAUAUUAGUAUUAUGUAUAAAUAUAUAAUUAAUAUUGUGUGUUAAUAUUAUGUAUAAAUGUAUUAUGUUAUACAUAAUACAUAAUAUAAUUGUAUAUAAAUAUACAUAAAUAUAUAUACAUAAAUGUGCAAUAUAUAUAAUAUGUAUUAUAUAUAUUAAAUAUAUAAUAUAUAAUAUAUAUAAAUUUAUAAUUACAUAUUUAUAUUAAUAUUAAUUUAUAUGGUAUAUAAUAUUUAUAUAAAUAUAUUUUAAAUAAAAUAAAAUAUUUAUAAUAUGUUUAAAUAAAUAUAUAAUAUAUAUAAUAAAUAUUUUAGGGUGAAGGACUCAAAAAUUCAAAAAAAAUUUUUGAGGUUACCGGCGCCGGGAGAGGUGGUGGAGGCGGUGUCUAAUGUGGUGGGUUGGGUGAGGGAGGAAGAAAAGUUUUUGAGAAAUUUUUUGUGUAUAGGGGCUUGUUUGGCACUCUAGUUUUUUACCAAGUUUUUUAGCUACUAGUUUUUUAACAACUUUUGCUACAGGAAGCUCAAAAAACUUUUCAAAGUUUUUUACCUACACACUUCAAAAAUUAUACACAAAAAAUUUCUCAAAAAAUUUUCUUCCUCCCUCACCCAACCCACCACACCAGACACCGCCUCCACCACCUCUCCUAGAGCCGAUCACCUAUUCCGGCGCCGCCGGCAACCUCAAAAAUUUUUUUUGAAUUUUUGAGUCCCUCACCCUCAAAAAUUUAUUAUAUAUAUUAUAUAUUUAUAAUAUUAUAUAUUUAUAUAUAUAUUUAAACAUAUUAUAAAUAUUUUAUUUUAUUUAAAAUAUAUUUUUAUACAUUUAUAUAAAUAUUAUAUACCAUAUAAAUUAAUAUUAAUAUAAAUAUGUAAUUAUACAUUUAUAUAAAUAUUAUAUAUUAUAUAUUUAAUAUAUAUAAUACAUAUUAUAUAUAUUACACAUUUAUGUAUAUAUAUUUAUGUAUAUUUAUAUACAAUUAUAUUAUGUAUUAUGUAUAACAUAAUACAUUUAUACAUAAUAUUAACACACAAUAUUAAUUAUACAUUUAUACAUAAUACUAAUAUAUUUAUACAUUUAUAUUAAUUAUAUUAAUACAUUUAUACAUAAUAUUAUAUAUUUAUACAUUUAUAACAUAUUAAUUUAUAUAUUUAUAUAAUAUUCAUUUAUAAUAAUAUACAAUUAUUACAUUUGUAAAUAUAUUUAUAUUAUGCAUUAUAUAUAAUAUAAUACAUUUAUAUAUUUUUAUAUAACUAUAUAAAUAUAUUUAUUUAUAAAUGUAUUAUAAAUGCAUAAAUAUAUAUAAAUAUUUAAACAAUAAAAAUUAUAACUUAUAAACAAUAUUAAUUAUACAUUUAUACAUAAUAUUAAUACAUUUAUACAUUUAUAUUAAUUAUAUUAAUACAGUUAUACAUAAUCAUCAUAUACAUUUAUAAAUUAUAAUUUAUACAUUUAUAUAAUAUUCAUUUAUAAUAUAUACAUUUAUAUUAAUUAUACAUUUAUACAUUUAUAAAUAUAUGUAUAUUAUGUGUUAUAUAUAAUAUAAUACAUUUAUAUAUUUUUAUAUAAAUAUAUAAAUAUAUUUAUUUAUAAAUAUUUAUAAAUGCAUAUAAAUAUUUAAACAAUAAAAAUUAUAAAUUAUAAACAAUAUUAAUUAUACAUUUAUACAUAAUAUUAAUACAUUUAUACAUUUAUAUUAAUUAUAUUAAUACAUUUAUACAUAAUCAUCAUAUACAUUUAUAAAUUAUAAUUUAUACAUUUAUAUAAUAUUCAUUUAUAAUUUAUCCAUUUAUAUUAAUUAUACAUUUAUACAUUUAUAUUUAUUUCUAAAUAUUUAUAAAUGCAUAAAUGUUUAAGAAUAUAAAAGUAUAAAAAUUAUAAAUUAUAAAAUACUCAAAAAUAUGUUUUAAAAAUACCUCUAAAAAUAAUCCAAAAAACGUCUACAGUAACAUUUCAAAAACUUCUACAAAAAAGUUUUUCACCUUACAAACACUUCUACAAAAUUUUUUCAAAAACUUCUACAGUGCACUACAGUAAAGUUUUAGACAAACUCCCAAAAAACUCAGGUUCCAAACAGGCCCUAGAUUUUUGAAGUGUGUAGGUAAAAAACUUUGAAAAGUUUUUUGGGGGUUCCUGUAGCAAAAGUUGUUAAAAAACUAGUAGCUAAAAAACUUGGUAAAAAACUAGGGUGCCAAACAGGCCCAUUAUCAUUAGAGUUGUUGGUGAGCCGAGUAGCUCGCGAGUAGUUCGAUCAACAACUCGACUCGAACUCGGGUUGACCGAGUUCGAGUCGAGUUUCGAGUAACUCGACUCCAAAUCAAGUCGAGUAUCAAGCUCCAUUUUCCGAGCUCGUGGCUCGUCGAGUAGCUCGACGAGCCAGAGUUAAUUAAAUAAAAUAUUUAUAAUUUAAAUAAUAUAUAUUUAUUAUAAUUAUAAAAUGACUAUUAUGGAUAUAAGUUAUAUGAAAUUUACAAUAUUACCUUCUUUAUAAUAAAAUCCUAUAAUGGCAAAAAAGUAAUAACAUAAUUGUAAAAAACACUAAAAAGAAAAAAUGUCUAAAAAAAAAAAGGAAGAAAAGACUUUCUUCCUUCUCUGUGCCGACUGUGCGACUUUCUUCUCUGUUCGAAGCCUAGCAAAAAAAUUCACUUUACCAAUCUACACCCUCACUCCGUUCGUCGCCGACGCCGUUGCUCGCCGCAUCUGUGAGACUCCAUCGCCAUCGCCAUCGCCUUAACAAGUCCCAAGUCCCAAAUCGAAGCUGCUCUCUGCCUCUCCUGCCUCCGCCAGUCCGCCGCGCUGUACGUCUCCUGUCGGCUGUGUCCUGCCGUGCUGGUUCAUCGCUGCCGAGUGUCGAAGACGAAGCACCAAGAUCUCACUAGUUCAUCGCUGGUUCAUCACUGCUCAUCUCUGGCUCACUUAGGUAAGUGCUCCUCUGUUUUUGGCUCUGUGUCUCUGGCAUUAAAAUGGGCCAAGAUCGACUAGGAAACUUGUUAUCCUGAAUUGAUAAGGGGACGAAAUCUGAGCUUCCAAUUGCAAACUCUAACUGUUGUAGUAGUUUAGAUUAGGUGUGAUAUAACAUAAGCUUUGUAUUUUAUACACAAGAAGCUCUCUCCAGUUGUGCAGCCUUUAAAAGUUAAGGCCUUGGUGAAAAAUUCCACCUUUUACCCGUUAGAAAGAUUGGCCUCAUGCUUUUGAAUAUACAUGCCGCAUACGUUGAUUGAGCUGAAUGUCUUGGUUUCUGAUCAUUUUUGGGCUAGUUAUUGCUUUAAUUUGAGUGAGAAUCCGGCAAAAUUUUAAUGCCCAUUUACUGUUCGACAAAAUGCUUGAUUGAAAGUUUUAGUUGAAGGGUGAUUGGUCUGCAUUUUUGCACAUGAAAAAUACUGGCCAAGUCGGCCAGUUCACUUCCUCGCAUCUAAGAAUUUUUGGUGUGUUGAUGUCUUACAUUUUUCUGCUCCUUAUGCUUCCGGUCGAGUGAAUUCGAAUUGAUGUUAUGAGAGGGAGUGUUGUGAGUCUCAUUGUUUGUUGGAAUGGUUAGAAAUUGAAGCCAGAUUUCUGGUUGCUGAAUGGUAAUUGAUAUUUGCUCGUUGGAGAAGAUGAUCACUUGUCCAAAAUUGCAAUUUCAGUCCCUCCGUUUUCUUUUUGUUUAGUGAUUUGGUCCUGUCUUUUCCUGAGCUUCAUAUUUGCCUCCAACACCAUCACAAGUCCCUUAAUUAGGUCCCUGCUUUGUUGCAUUUUCGUCAAAUCGAGUCAAAAAGCUUGAUAAGACUCGACUUGAUAAGGCUCGAUUAAAGAUCGAGCCUUAUCGAGUCGAGUCUCGAGCCUAAGGAAAUUCUUCGAGUCGAUCUUCGAGUAUCGAUUUUCGGGCUCGAUCGAGCUCGAGUCGAGCUCGAGUUUCUGUGUGUAUGAGUCGAGUCGAGCUCGAGUAUAGUGAUACUCGAGCUCGACUCGGCUCGAUUACAUUUAUCAUCAUUUCCUCUGUGUUCAGCAGCCUCUGUUUUUCCAUUUUUGGACUUUACAUGCUCCAUCAUUUACUCCACAUAAAUUGGUAUGUUUUUGAGGUCAACUAGUUCAACAUCAUCAAAGGUUAUAUCCACAUGUAAACCAUCUUCUUCUUGUUGAAUCUUCUCAGCAAUUACUGCGCUUGGACCAGUGUUGCUAUUAAUAUCUCUUAUGUGGAAUUCAUGGACACCAUACACAUCAGUUUCUGCAUAUUUUUUACCAAUGCAAACAGGAUCCUCACCAUCUAUUAGCCAAAGCUUGAGCACAUUAGUUUCACAGGGGAUUCUAUACAUCAUCUUUGAAUCAUUCGAACAGCCCACAAGAGUGCAGAAGUCAUGCAAAAUUGAUGUACUAACUCUCAUUGGAUUAACUCCUUCAAAUGUUUCUAUGCAACCCCCUACAUAUGUCUCUUAUGGAUCUUUAAUAUAUACACCGCCAUAAUGCACUGUCAAAGUAAAAUAGUCCACAUGUUAACUUGCUUUUUUAUUUCCAACAAAAAACAAAACACAAAAAUUCCUUCAUUCUUUAGAAAUAAAGAACCUUGGUCCCAACUAUGUGUAACUUUUCAUGAACAUGAAAGUUACGACACACUAUAAUUUAAAGGCAAAGGGACCGCAUCACAGCUCACAAAACAAACAAAAGUUACUUUAAAAACAUAUUAAAAAAUACCAAAUUUCGCCGACACAGUCACAAACAUACAAUUUUAUUUAAUAAUUAUCAAAAUUUCACCAUCACAAAUCAUAAGCAAACAAAGUAAAAUUUCAGAAGUAUACCAUAACCAAAGUAAAUACUUUCUUUUCCAUGUGGAAAUCUAUAUGUAAUUUAACAAAAAAUUUCACCAUUUCCGAAUCCGUUCAUGCCCCACCACAACUAUACGAUACUGGAAAAUUAAACCCCCUCCCUCAAAUCCUUCCAUUAUAUAUUAUUUCACCAAUUCAACACACUAGUGGCACUAAAAUCGACCAACUAAUACAUACGGGUAGAGAGAGUUAGAUUUGAAAUUACGGCUUACUUGAUCUUGUUGAUGACUUUGAUUGAUUUUUGCCAUCCUUGUCACCAUCGCCAAUGUCCACUGCAGAACUUGCGAUGUUCUCGAUUCGAUUCUAGCCUCCAUUGUGAUUUUAUCGAAACCCUAGUUCGUCCCCCAAUUUCUCCCAAUUACAUUCUAUUUUUUUUAGAUUAAUCCCAUGGGUGAGGUGUUCGUUGAUUAAUUGCAAAAGAUUAGACUAGUGUGAUGAUUAUGCCCCUGUAGGUCCACAUCAGUGAAAAAUCCUACGUUGGAUGUAAGAAACUUCUUCACCAACUAAAUUGGUUAAAAUAAUUUAUCAAGGACAAAAUUAAUUUUAAUGAAAAUGUUUGGAAACCAAAUUGGCGAAAUUCCCUAACUUUAGUUAUUGCGUCAGCAGCAUCCAAUCCCGCCCAAAAUGAAACAUUAUCCCCUCUGAGACAGCACACAAUUGACACAAAUAUCCCAAACAAAAAUCAUUCCCUUUCCCUCUCCCAAAACCACCAUGAUCACCACGCAACUCCUCCUCGCACCACCGCCACGGCCACUGCUCCCCAUUUUCUCUCCUAAACCGUCACUACCCCCAAUCACCACCUCAGUUAAGUCCCCCACUAUUCACCUGCCAAUUACAAAGCCCAUAAUCUCCAGCAGACGAGACUUUCGGGUCUGGGCCGACGACGGAGACGGGGACAGCGGCAGCCCCGACGACUACGACAUGGACGACGAAGAAGCCGAGGAAGUAGACAACAAGAAAGACUUCGACGUUGACUACGACACCACCACCGCCAUUUCCGCAGCCGCGGCCGGAGGAGAGGAUGACAUUCUGAUAGUUCAGAGCAAGAGCUUUAUUUCUACUCAGGGUUGGGAUUCCGAGAAGAUUGUGGAAUAUAGGAUUAAUGAAGAGGAGUUUCAUAAAAUUUGUUUGCUCGACUGUGAUUUCUUUAUUCGGAAACCUCCUGACCUCGACGACGACGUUUACGACUUCCGGGAGGUAGGAGAGUUUUCUCUUUCAGCAUUGUUCACUCUUCUAGGGUAGUGGUACCUUUUGGCUACAUUGUGUUGUACAUUAUGCUGCAAAGUUGUACCCUGUGAAUUUUUUUUGGGCUGAAUAGUAGUAAGGUACCUUCUGGCUUAAAUAUUGCAUAGUAUGUUGUAAAAGUUUUAGCACGUUGUGAUGUAGAUUCUGUUGUACAUUAUUCUGUAACAGUUGUAUUAUGUGAUUUCUUUGUUGAUAUUGCCCAUGGGCGUUGUUAGUUUCAGUGUGAGCUUCUUAGUGCUAAAAAAAUAAGGGACGAAAAUCAUUUUUCCAAAGUGUUGUACGCUUUGCAGUAAAGAUUGUAGAUUUCUUUCUUGACUAAUGAGUAUGGUUAAAGGAUGUAUGAGGUUUCAUUUUGCAAUGUGCAGAUGUAUGUCACGCCUCCUGACACAGAUGUAUAUGCGAUCCCAAAGGUUCUUGCUCCAAUGCCUCAAAAGGUAUGCAAUGGUUUUCAGGAUCUUUUAUGUGUACGUAGACAAUGUACUAUAGGUUGUAUGCUUAUUCCACCUUUGGUACAAUAUGGUAAUGAUAGAUUUGAGGAUCUUCAGCUUUUAAUGUAGAAUAUGAUCAUAUUAGUUACUUUUGUAUAGCCAUGCCAAAAUUUGAUUGAUUUGCUCACUUCAAUGGUUUCUCUUUGUUUUGUAGUACAUUCGAUGUGCACAGACUGAUUAUGGAUGCUACAAUGUAACAGAGCCACCUAUUGAUGCACCCAGAGAUCCCAUGUAUAAAUCCGAGAGGGAGGUCUUGAAGGUAUGUGUGGGAUACAGUUUGCAUUAUGCAGCUUUUCCUGUAGAUUUUGAUGCAGCUUUGCUUCCAAACUUUAUCAAAAAUUUGAAUUUUGUAUAGUUCGAUAUUUCCAUUUUGUUAGGCAGUGAGUAGUAUUUGAGUUUGUGCGAGGCCCAAAUUGUUUAAGAGUGGCAGAGAACAUUUAUGUAAAUAUUGCUUAUUUCUGUAGUAUUUUUCUGUGCUUAUCAAUUGUUAUUGCCCUUUUUAGAGGAUACUUUCUAUCGUUGUUGAUGUCAGUAUAUUUGAGUUUGUGCGAGGCCCAAAUUGUUUAAGAGUGGCAGAGAACAUUUAUGUAAAAAUUGCUUAUUUCUGUAGUAUUUUUCUGUGCUUAUCAAUUGUUAUUCCCCUUUUUAGAGGAUACUUUCUAUCGUUGUUGAUGUCAGUUGAUGAUCAACAAAUGUGGUACUAGGUGUAUAGUUUUGUAGCUCAGUUCUAGGUUUUGAGGCCAUUAGACCUUCAAUUGUAGCUCAUGAAGGGUAAGCCAAAGUUGUUGGAAAGAAAGAGCUCAUGAUGUGUCGAGUUCUCGUAAAAUGCAAAGAACUUGGUAGUGCCAUAACUAGGAAUACAUGUGAAGUUCUUGCUCCUAAAAUUCUACUCUGUUGGAAGCUCUCAUUAAUAUAUUUAAGCCAACAUUUCUGAGCAAACUAGGGAAGGAAGUUGUAAUUCGAAGUCCAGAAAUGUGGAGGUACUGCAGUAUCCUAGCCUGGACCUAAAGUGUUGCUUUAGUCUGUGUACACAGUAAUUUCGUUUUCAACUAAAAGUCAUCCCGUGUCAAUUCUCAUCAAGUUGGAAAAAUCAUCCUCAAACUCAAAUUUGAUAUGGGGAUCAAUAGGAUUUCCAAAUAAGCUGUUCCAUAUUCUCCUUUGUUUAUCUUUGCUUCUGUUUCUUGAUCCUUCACCACGAAACUUGACUUGUAAAGAUAUCCUAGAGUGUGCCUAACCUAAAUUGGUUGAAAUGUUAUUUGCGGAUUUCUACCUGCUGGUACGCUAAAAAUAUUAUCUGAUUUAUUGAUAUAAACAUCUACGUCAUAUUGUUGUUUCCUUAAUAAGCCACCAUUUUGCUUUGCUUGUUUCGCUUCAAUGUAUUAUCUCCUUUAGAAUUUUUAGUGAAAGAUAUGCACUUGUCUCUCUCAAUUUGUUUUUGUCUAUGGAAUUGUUGGUUAAAUAAAUCUGUCUUUCUAUUUCCUAUAUUUGACCAAUUCUUUUGGUUUAUUGUGCAGUUAAGUAAAUGUUAUUCCCUGUCAACUCUGAAGGGUUGUUUGAGCAAUUUUGAAUACAAAAUCAUCAAAACUACCCCUUUUUUUGUUUUCCUAUUAUUUUGUAUUUUACAACCUAUUUAAACAAGUCUGGUGUUCCUUUUAUGCUGUGACAAGGUUGAGCCAUGAUUAAAAUAUCUUCCUUCCUGAAUAGCAUGAUUGUGUUUUAUUGCAGAUUUUCCUGACGAAGCAUUAUAGAAACCGCAGAUCUGGUGAUCCUGAUUUCAUGCUUGAUUUUGAGGAGAUUUAUGUAAUUGAUUCAAAGACAAAAUCAAUAACAAGAGCUAAAGUUGUGGUAAGGAAUCGUAUGGGCUUUGAACUAAUGGUUUAAGUCUUGCUUUUGAGUUUACCUUCUCAGAAUGCCUUCAUCGAAAUUCUGUGCUUCUUAGGCUGGAGUAUGAAGACAAAUUUUUACACUAAAGCUUAUACUAUUGUACUGGUAAAAAAGGGAUGUCCGGUACAAUAGGUGCUUUGUCCUGACAUAUAGGCUUGACAAAUCAACAUAAUAUGGUUUUUUCCUCCGGACUAGGUGACUGUACCAGACGGGAAAAACAGGGACAGGAGGAAUGAUCUGCUUGUUAUACGUGACAAUGGAAAUUCCUUCAGAAUAAUUCCUCCGGUAACUGUUCUUUUUAUCUCGGAUUUAUACUUAUUUAUGGUGGCUUUUACUUCAGCUGCUAGACUUACAUAUCUUGUUUGUCCUAGAAUGAAAGAGAUACUCCAACAGAUGUGAUAGAGAAGGAAGAAUGGAGCAAAACUAGGCAAGACAUGGAAAGACACCUGAGUAAGCUGAGAGAUUUCAGUGUGUCAAAUUGGUUCUAGCCAACUAGUAUUGUGAUUAAGAAAGUUCUGGGCGUUGCUUUCCAAUGAAUGUCGUGCUGCCAAUUGGAACUGUUCAGAGUAUGAUCCAUAAUCGUGAACAUUUCCGUACACGGCCAGCAGCUACCCGUGACCUUAUCUAGGACGCAUUGCAAACCCCAAAGAGCUGCUGCUCUAAGGAUGAUCAUACUUGUUAGCUUCAAUGUAUUGCCAGCGGUGACAAGUCGGCUCGUCACUUCGCAUUCACCAAGUGGAAGAAACUUGUUAGUUUAAUUCACCUGUUUCUUCUGUAGCUUUCUUGUGUAGCUGCAUGCCUAUUUCCCAGGAACUUGGAAGCUUUGGUAGAAGUUUUAUGCAGCAAAAUCAGCACUAGUAGGCGCAGAAAGGUUGUUUAGCCCAUGAAAAUAUGCUUAUACAGUGUUCUUCUUGUAAGGCAAUCAUGUGAGUCAUGCCUGCAAUGGAUUUCUACCAUGAUGCUAUCGAUUGUGCCUUAAUAUAAGAGUCUUGUGCAUCGUUGGGUGCUUGACGCCCCACCCCUUUCUCAUCCCUGUGUUAUGAUCCUGCUCAUUUGCAUUCAUGAAAGGGUACAUAGUUUCGGUCCACUUAGCAAAAGGAGAAAACAUAGAGAAAAUGAAAAUGGUCUGCUGGCAUUUGUAUCGUUGUAAUUGCGCCUUUCUUUCUGACAGGCCACAAAUUUCCUUACAUGCUAACAAAACCCAAAAAACAAAAAGUCAUUUUGGGGAAAAAGAGAAAUGAUACAGCAAAUCAAAUUCAAUCGUGAAGCAUAGAGUCUGCAAGUUCAAAUUAAUAUGCGAAACUUUGAAAUUAAAAACCUCAACAAACGUGCAACAUAGAACCCUGGAAAUCUGAUCCAAGCAGGAUAGGAACUUUGAGAGUGCCAUUUCUUCUUGAUCAUCUUCAGGAGGAAAGACGGUAACGAUAAGCAGCGGAAGAAUAAAGUAACGUCGGAAAUGCAGCCAAGAAAAGCAGAGGGAAAAUAGUCUAAUCUGGAACCUGCCUUCAGCUAAAAAUUUUCUCCAUUGCUGUCAGCCUGUCACAAAUCAGAAAGCACAGCAUUAACGUCGAUUAAAUUGAAGUGAAAAUUAUUCACGAAUGGUAAAUUCAGAUUCAACUAAAUUUCAACACAGUGGGCAUUAAAUGUUUCAAGAAAUGUAUUCUUUCUGCUUUCCUUUUUUGGAAUUCAUUUCAUGAGCGGUUAAUUUUAUCUCAGAAUUUGUGUUAAUAGAUCAACAUAUUACCAUUGUUUUUAAACUCGGACCAUUAAAUGAAUCAGAUGAGCUUCUGGAUUACUAUUCAACUCGGUUCAAAUACCUUUUUAUUGUUUUAUUUAUUAUGUAAAUUAGAUGACUUUAAAAUUAAAAAAAAUAGUAUGAACUGGUUUAAAGAUAUGAUUUUUACCGGUUUUUGAUUGGUUCAGUCCAUUCUUGAUUGGAUUUGACUAGUUCAAUUGAUCUUUUAGAUUGACCAGUGAAUUGAACUAGUACCAUGAUUGAUUUGCAGUUCGACCUGUUAUCACAAAUUUGUUUUUCCAUAGUUAUCCUCUAUAGCACCAUCUUUUUAUUUCUUUUGUCAUCAACAAAAAGAAAUUAAUUAGUUUAUCAAUAACAUAACAUACAUAAAUUUUGCCAAGCAAAACAAACUUAUAGAGCAUAUUUUGCAUAAAGAUGACUAAUAGGAUUUUUCAAAAAGGAUCAUUAUUAGAUGAAAAUCUAAAAUUUUUGGCUUUAGUAAUCAAUUUCAAUGCAUAAAAAAGAAAAAAUUUUUUUAGCAUUCUCCGAGACUAUUGGUUGGAGUUCUUAAGUGUUCCAAAGCCUAUGCACUUUCUUCUUCAUCACAACAAUCCCUGAUGUUCGAAGAAUCAGUAGUCCUAUAGUCCUCACACCCCGUCAUGAAUUUUGAAAUCCUUAAAAUUAGGGAAUAAAUAUUUUCCAUAUAUAUAUAUAUUUACCCCCUACUCCUAUACACACUUUUGCCAUCUCCCAACUGACAAACUCAAGAUUCGAACUCUGAAUCAGCACAGUGCACAGAGCGAACUAUUCUUUUGCCUUUUCCAUGUAUAGCUGCUUGUAUUGAAGAUGACUCUUUUGAAUGCGGUUAAAACUAUUUGAAAUUACCAUAUUUUGACAUAAGUUUCAAUUCAAGAAACCAACCCGAUUAGGACACAACCUUAUCAAUUUCAUCUGUUAGAGGUGCUACACGAGAAAGAGAAAAAGUAACAAGACUAGUGAAGUUUAUGAUUGAGAUGAUGAAGUUACCUGUCGACAUGAGAAAGAAACUACAGAAAGGGCUUCUAUAUCUCCAGUCCGGAAAUAAGGACCUUGAGCUCCUCAUUUCCGGAGUCCCUUUGUUCUUCCUCGAUUUUCUUGACAGAAACAGCAGCAGCUUCGGCACACCAAUGCACCUCAAUUAUCUGUAAUGUGGGGAUCUCCCCAAAACUUAAUGGCACCUCCUCAAGCUGCGUACAUCUUUGCAAGACUAGCUGCUCAAGGGAGGGAAAGUGAUCAUUGGAAGCUUCCCACUGAGCAAUGUCCAGCUUGUCCAAUUUCAGGUAUUUGAGAUUCUGGAAUUCUCCUUCCCUUGUUUCCCAUACCCGUCCCUCAAAAGCUUUAAACAGUAAUUUCAAGCUCUCAAGGUUUGGUAGUCUCCCGAUUGUUGAUAUUUCAGUCCAUGGUAGGCGAAACUUUGACAGUGUCAACUUCUUGAGAUUUGCAGGGAAGCUAAAUUGACAAGGAUAAGCAACUCUACCAUGAUAAAAUAUCUUGAGUGACUCGAGGGAAGUCAGAACAUCCAGCACCGGAAAAUUCCAUGACUCCAUAAAAAUGCAUCUUAGUUUCCGAAGUUUAGGUAGCCUUCUCAUUAUUUUCUCUGUAGCUCUGCCAGGACGAAGAACUGGUGUAGAAAGGGUAUCCAGAUUGCCCAAUACACAUCGGGUUUCAAGCUUAUUGUCAUCCAAAAUGAAUGCAGCACGGUCAUUUAUGUGGACAUGCCUUAAGCUUUCCAUUUCCCAAAAUGCGUCCGGAAUUUCAACUUCGCCAGAUAGUCCCUUCAGAAGAAAAGUUUCUAACUUCCUGAGCUUAGCUAUUGAUGUCGGAACAGAAUUUACAGCUCCUCUGAGAGCUAAGUAUCUCAACUGAACAAGUAGUUCCAGUCCAGUGGGAAAAGAACUACCCAUGUUGAUGCUCUCCAAAUCCAGCACUCUUAGAAGUUUAAAGUUUUUAGAAAUGAAUGAAAUGUCAUAAGGGCACCUUGGGAACCAAUCAUUAUAGGCCAGAAAUAGUAGACUAUGUACACGAGGACCACAAGGCCUCAACAUGGUAAAAUGCUCCCUUUCGGAACAAAUGCACAGCCGACGUUGUUUGUAUUUCAGAGGAUUUGUGGAAAAAGAGCACCUAGAAUCAGCAAGGUUGUAAACUUUACCAUCAGGAGUAGUGGCGAAAUGUUCAUCAUACCCGUGGACAAGCUGGAAAAAGUUCUCCUCUUGAGCUUUUCUCUGGCAUAGCUUCCGCAGUAGAUCAUGAAUGCGGCAUGAUCUCACCCUACCGUCUGAUCUUGUUUUGGCCACGAUAACUAGGCUUCUAUGUAUCAAAUCUAGUAAGCAGUCCUCUGCAGCAUCCUCCAAUCUCUUAACACCAGUUUCUUGCAAAAACCCUUCUGCAAUCCAUAGCCUUGACAACUUUGAUACUGGAAUCUCAUGGUCCUCCGGAAAGGCUGCAAAGUAAAGAAAGCAUCUCUUCAAAUAAUCUGGCAAGUGCAGGUAACUCAACUCCAGUACACGCAGGCACCCCAUUUGUGGAUCCGUAACAAUGUGAGAGCUCAAAUUUCUCGAAACUUGUUCCCAACUAAGAGGUGUCUUUUCUGUUGUUGCAAGCAAACCCGCUAUCACAACAACUGACAGAGGUAGUCCGUCACACUUCCGUGCAAUUUCCAUCCCGACUUGCAGCAGCGAUGGAGGGCAACCUUCUUGUCCAAACAACUUUAAUUCCAAUAACUCCCAACUUUGAAUGCCAGAAAGUAGAUGAAGGAAGUAAGGUUUGCAACCUGACUUAGCUUUAAAAGCUACAUCUUCCAAUCGGCUGGUAAACAAAACUCUACUUCCAUUGUUAUCAUUGGGAAAUGAAUCUCUCAAGUCGUUCCAUGCUUCGAUAUCCCACAAAUCAUCCAUGACGAUGAGAUAUCUUCUCCUCUUUAGCCUUUUGCGCAAUUCUAGGGCCACAUCUUCGGCAUCCUUUUUCUGGAUUUGGUCAGUGGUCUCACUGAUUUGGCUCAAGAUAUCAAGUAGUAACUGUCUCUUGUUAUAUACUUGAGAGAUGCAGCACCAUGCACGAACAUAGAAGUGGCUGGUAACAGUAGGGUUAUUGAACACUUCCUUGGCCAGAGUUGUCUUGCCAAGCCCAGCCAUGCCUACAAUUGGGAUGAUAUCCCUUUCCAUUGUUCCUCUUGUUAGUCGAUCGACAACCCCCCUUUCUGCAUCUUCGAAACCUAUCACAACCUCAUCAACUGUUGGGCUACUAGCUUGUGAUUGUGCCUCACUGGAGGUCUCGGCACCUCUAUCCGCUUCAGAGUCAAACCUUUUCUCGUCAGAAAUCUCAAUCAUGUUUGCUUUUAAAAGUUUAAUCUCUUCUAUGACAGCAGAAAGCCAUAGCAUACGAAUGCAUAGGGGGCCAUCUCCAACCACAAACGAGUCAACAGCAUAUUCUAGUUCAUAUGCAAUUUUUGUAAUUCUAGUCCGAAGAACUUUCAGUUCCUCAUGGUCAUGAUGUUGCUUUACACUUUUUAUGAGGAAAGAUAUGAGGAAGUCCAAGUCCAUAUUUACCAUGUCAAGCUGAUGCUUUGCAGAAGCAAUUGAAAUAGCAUUGCAGUCAAGUAGCUCCCUCAGAUUUCCCAAGAACGAGCUUAGAAAGCCAAGAUCAUCAGUCUUGGGAUAUGGCUGCGGAAUUUGGAGAUAAAUUUGCCCGAUCUCAGCCUUCAAAAGCACUAUUUUAUCUAUCAAAUCGGAAAGCGAACGGUUCAUUUCCUUGGACAUGUCUUCUUUCGUUAAAUUAUCACCGAGCAAGAAAACUAGACAUGUGGCUUCCUUGGCCAGAGCUUCGAGUUUCAUCCAGAUCUGUUCGCCAAAUUCCUUGAACUCCUUAGGAGACUCCAAGAGAACGAUCCUGAGAAAUCUUACCCCCUCUUGAACCUUUUGAAGAGUUUGAACCGGAUCCUUCAUAUCGAUCAUCCAGCUAGCAUCGUGGCUUUGUAGUUCUGCUAAAAAGAUCUCUGCCUUGACAAGAUUAAUCUUGUCGAGUAACUUGAGCAACUGAAAGUUGGCUUCAUCAAUUGCCUCAUUUGCAUUUUCAUCGGACCAAAAUGAGAGUAUGAAGGAAGAUGACUCUUUAGUCACAGCUUCAAAAUGUUUCAAGAAUAAUUUUCCAUCCUCCGUAUCUUCCUCCAUUUUUGAGGGAUCCAUGAGAAAUUCUCUAAAAUAUUUAAGCCCCUCAUGAAGGGUUAUAAUUUGAUCAUUAAUAGGGGCUAUGAAUUCAGCCUUCUGGUCUUUUAGCCUCAUCAAAUAUAACUCUCCCUCAAUGAGCUUAAUCUUUUCCAGCAGCAAAAAAAUUUCAAGAUUCACUUCCCUUACCGUCUCUUUGGUCACCUUCUUUUCGUGCAUCAAGUGAAUGAGGGCCGUAAUCUCACGAGCCAUUGUUGCUGCAUCUUUACUGAUCUGCUUUAUAUCCUCCUCCUCCUUCUCAAGUGGAUCACUGAGGAACGAUCUCAGGAAUCCCAGACUCUGGUGAAGGCCUAUCAUUCUAUCCUUCGAAGUUGCAAUGAAACUUUCCUGAGAGUCCUGUAGCUGUAUCAGAAAUAUCUCUGCUUUGAUCAGCUUCAUCUUUUCCAGCAAGCUAGCAAACAUACGAUUCAUAUCCCUCAGUUGGUCCUCUGUUGCUUUGUUGACAAGAAAAUUGUACUCGAAACAUCCUACCUCCUUGGCCGUUGCUUUAAUAUCUGCUGAGAUUUGGUAAUAAUCUCUUGUGAUCGGAUAAGUUUGGGGCUUGAUCACAAACUCCA